rnacentral:lncRNA from 1 species
UUUCAGAUAAAUCCCUAUAUAUGUAAUGAAUUACCAAUAUAUUCUAUAAAGUUCAACUUUUACAUAUUGUUACCGUAAAAGUUUUGAUGUUUUCAAAUGUCGCUAAUGUUAGGAUUCGUUAGAAAAAAUUAGUUAAUCAUAUGUAAAAUACAUAACCUCAGUUAGUUAAUAAAGUGACUUAACCUUUUUACCCUCUUCAAUUAACAGUUGGAAUUUUUGAAGGGAUAUAUUUGAGAUGGCAAAAAGAUUAUUUCACUUAUAAAACUGUAACAAAUCAGAGGGAUAUAUUUGAAAAUAUUAGGACUUUUGAAUGGACAAUAUAUAAAAAUUGAACUUUGUAGAGAUAUAUUUGUAAUUUACUAUGUUUGAAGAGACCUGGAUGAAAUUAACCCUCUAAAAUUUAGAAAAUCAAGUGACCCUCGCGUGUUUGGGCCUGGGCCGAUCCAAUGAGAAAUCUCCGACCCAGAGUUUGACUUGGGCCUGGGCCCGCCGGGGCAUUAGCUCCUUAGAAGCCAAGGCCCAUACCAUUAGAAAUUAUUGGCUACACCAGGUGUUUAGGUACAUCUCGUAUACGGCCUCCUAAAAUUCCCGUAAUAGAGACCUCAAGUUCACAAAAACCACCAGGUGUGCUCGGUGUUGCAUAUAUCUGAUGUUUCUCUGUUCUUUUGCGGAGGUUUUCAUACUUUUUUUUUUAUUUUAUUAUAUCGUGGUUAAACUCAAUAAGAGGUGUUUCACAGUACGUAUAUUAAUUAUGUGGCAUUAAUUGCGUUAUUACUUUAUCAUCCAUUGGAGGAUCAGGUUAGGCGGUUAAACCUAGUUGAUGUAGUUAAGUUACCUCUCUACUCCGAUCCUACAUUACCAUCCGGUCGAGCUAAACUAUCGAUUCUCAAAGAGAGGAGAGAAAGACAUUUGAUUGGGUGGGUCUACAAAGCCCGGUCCAGGAGGCACCGUCCCCAAGUCGACAAUCGUCCACUGACCGGUCAACCUAACACAGGGAGGUGGGACCCGCACACUCCCAAUCAAAAGGUACAAACUCUUAUUCGCUGAUGUUGACCGCAUCAGCCGGUCGAAGUCAACCGGGUAGACGGUUUGGCAUGGGCUCGAAAUUUCCUCGAAGUCGCCACCACACGCAAAUUGAAUGAUGACGGCGAGGGCGGAGAAAUCCAGGACCCCCACCAAAUUAUUCCAUGCACCUCCCUCACCACAUCAGCUGUGGCACCUCCUCUAUUUCAACUUGUAUUGCCUCUCCACAAAAUUAUUACACAGUGGAACGGUUUCCCAAAAUAUUAAUAAGCUCAUAUAUUAUUAUUAUUAUUGUAUUAAGUUAUAUACACUAGAAGAUAAUUAAUAGUUUCAAUAUUUUAUCAAUAAUUUAUAAGAUUGAUAAUAACUCAACAACACUUAUUUAUAUGUUCAGGGUAAAAAUAUAUUGUUGUAAAUAAAUGCUUAUGCAUUAAUUAAGUGGACGGCAUUGAUAGUUAUUUUUUCAAAAAAAAAAAAAUAUUGCAUUGCUGUAUUUGCACCGAGAAAAAUAAAACUCAAAACUAAAAAUCUUAACAUUUAAACCUAAAUAAUUUCUGGAUUAUUUAUAAUAUUUAGUAUUUAGGCAUCAAACGAACAACUAUUAAAAUUACUGGUAUUCAAUAAUUUAUUUUUAGUUUCAUAACUUUAAGGCAUGAAGUUUAAAUUUACAAUUUAUGUCUAAUAGUUUUAAUUCUAACUUUAAAAAGCUCGAAGAUUCUAGUGUAUACACUGCGGUACUUGCAGUAUAUUUUUUUUUAAGAAAAAAAUAGCAAACUAUAUGCUUUGUUUAUUUUUUUAAAAAUAAAUUGAGUUAAAAAUAUUAAAUGAUUAGAUUUUAAAUUUGGCAUCUCAGUCAAUUACGCUAGAUAACCGUUGUUGUUCUGAGCGGUCUAGGGAUGACGUGGUGGACCUGGUCCAGGCAACAAGUUGUAUGAGAGGGGGACCACAAACCGCGGCCUCGCCACAAGAAGCAAACACAAAAACCCAUCGAAGUCUAGAGAGAGAAGCUCCCAAAGAGAGAGAAGAGAGAGAGAGAGAGAGAGAGAGAGAGAGGGGAAAAAAAUCUUAGCUGCUCCACUGAUCAAAAGAGAGAGAGAGAGAGUGAAAUCCGAUCGUCGAUCUGUAGACGGACGGAUGAUAGGGGGGAUGGAGGGACAAACAGUUCGAUCUUCUUCCACACCCAACACCAACAAGCGAAGAUCCGAGUUCCUCAACAUGAUCAAGGUAUCGAUUUGGAUUUCUCAUAAAUUUCUUACAAAUUUCUUUGAUUCCAAGCUAGGAAAAACUUAGUAACUUUUGAUGGAGUAUUUGUCUCAGUACUGCGAUUCGGAGAAGCACUGAAUUAUAAUUACCCCCUACGGCUUCUUACCGCAGCAGAAUCAGAAGCAGCGAUUAGCGGGAAAAAAAAAAUGAAAAUUAGGAGAUGGGGUGUUUUCUUUGACAAUUGAUGCUGAUUAGUCAAAUAAAUCUCAUCUUCUGCUUAAAAUUGAUUUUAUUUAUGAUCCGGAUAGUGUAUUUUCUAGGGUUUCCGAUGUCUUUGAGUUGCUUAAUUAGGGGAAAAGAUGGAUCGGAUUAAACUGGUGAUCCUGAGGAUAAAUUAGGCGUUUUUGUUCUCAAUUCUAACAUAUAAUUCGAGAAAAUAGUGAGUGGAUAAAAUUCAUAAACAUUGAUUUUAUCCUGUCCUGAAUAAUCAGUGUGAUUUACGUGAGUAAUUGGGAGAUGGUCAUCGCAAUUGAUUUAUUAAUAGCGAAUCCUAUGUUAGGCGACAAAUUGACGAGAACCCGCCACCGAAAGAGGAACAGCUAAGUGGGAGAACGAACAUAAAUGCACAAAUCUCAUGUGACGACGUAAUUAAAACAAAAAAAAAAGCAUAUUUGUCGCUACUCGAUACUCGUGAAUUGAUUUUGUUUGAGGGCUCGGAAAUCAUGACUAGUAGGGGUAGCACUUGCAAAGUAAAAAAUUUUUGAGAACAGGUGAUUAGACUUUCAUCAUUGAGAAUAGAUGCAAAUUUCAGAGCAUAGGAGCGAAAAAGAAAUGAACAUUCAUGGUAGAUAUUUGCUUUUUCGGCUGCCAAAACUAAUUGUUUUAGAAAGUCAUGAAAAGUUCAUAUUGUUGACAAUUAAAUCUUAUCUGCUCGGAUGCCCUCCACUUUUAAAAUUUUCUGAUCUCGUUUCUGUCUUUUAUUUUCACGUAUCUGAAUGGCCGUAAAGAGUGCUGCAUGUCUUAAUUCAUCAUCAUCGGAUGCUGGGAAAGGACGGAGCAAGUUGUCGAGUAAUAAAGUCGCGCAUGGUUUUCACUUGGUGGAAGGAAAAGCCGGCCAUGACAUGGAGGAUUAUCAUGUCGCAGAGUAUAGAUACGAGAAUAAUUGUGAGCUUGGCCUGUUUGCUAUAUUUGAUGGCCAUUUGGGAGACAGUGUUCCGAGUUAUCUAAAAGAUAACCUUUUCAACAACAUACUUAAAGAGGUACCUGUUUAUUUAUCAUCUAUGUUCUUUUUGUUGAAAUUGUUGUAUUCGUUUACAGAGAAAUGCUAUUUAUGGAAGAUUGCAGGAAUAUGUUCUUCUAUGGUAUAGACUAUAGAGCUUUCCUAAUGACUCCAUUUAGUGCAAGUACUACUGUAUUUUCUCUCAUUUGUCUUCUUUAAUUCCUUUUGUCGGUUCAGAUUGUCACUUAAAAGUGGCAAGUUUCUAUAUAGAUUGCCCUCUCUUCUUUUAUGAAGGUAGAAACAUAAAGAUGCUAACUGAAAUAUAGCGCAUUCUGAAGUGGGUAUCUGAACUUCAAAUUAUGGAUUUUACUACCUAUGUGUACAGUUGUUUGAUUUAAUUGCCUCUCAUCAGAAGUUAUCUUUUGACUUUUUGAUGAAAUUUUUGAUAAUUAAUCAGACAUCCUUUAACUCCUUCGACUGAAAUGGUUAAAUUCUAACAGAACUUGUUGGAAUUUUCUGAAAUCAGAAGUAAUGAAAAAGUUUGGUGGUAAAAUCCAAAUUUUGGAAGUUUUUGCAGUUAUGUUAGAAGUGCACAACUUUAUGCUCAUGCAUGGCCUGUACCUCUUUACCUUUUACCAACUAUGAUAUUUAUAGCUGAAUCUCUUCAUGGUCACUACAGCCUCUCUUCUGGAGAAACACCGAAGAAGCAAUAAAAAAUGCUUACCGCUCCACAAACAAGUAUAUUCUAGAGAAUUCCAGACAGCUUGGUCCAGGAGGUUCUACGGCAGUUACAGCCAUCGUCGUCGAUGGUAAAGAUUUGUGGAUAGCGAACGUAGGCGACUCGAGAGCCGUUGCAUGUGAGAGAGGUGAAGCUAAGCAGCUUACUGUCGACCAUGAACCUGAUUCCGAAAGGCCAAGGAUUGAAAAACAUGGUGGUUUUGUGACGACUUUUCCUGGUAUGUUCUUUUUUUCCAGUUGUUGUUUUGUUAGUAACCAUAAUGCAAUUCAUAUAUAUAUCUUGGUACUAAAUUGGUGUAAUUUCAGGUGAUGUUCCUCGCGUAAAUGGUCAGCUUGCUGUUGCAAGGGCAUUUGGUGAUCAAAGCCUCAAGGCACAUUUAAGUUCAGAGCCGGAUGUCAAACAUGUGCCUAUAGUUUCGGGCAUAGAGUUUGUCAUACUCGCAAGUGAUGGACUAUGGAAGGUUAGUAAUUUGAUUCCUCUUAAUGUUCACUGCUUUACAUUCACCUCCGUUUUGAGCCCUCAUACUCUUAUCUAAAUAAAUUUUUAUUGUAAAAUUAUGAAGUUUUUAAGUUGGAUAAUUUGGGGCAUUGUUAAGUAUUAUGUUUUAUUGUUCGUGCUGACUAAAUUUACUACGUUCUCUUCCUUUCUUAUUCAGUAAUCUUACUUCUUCUAUUGACGAAUUCAUCUAGGAACUUGGAUAUCUUCUCGUAAAAAUCUAUGACUAUCUUGGAAUAAAAAGGAAAUCUAACUCUGCAAAGUUUCCUGAUUCAGGUUAUAAAAAAUCAAGAAGCUGUUGAUUUAGUGAAAUCCAUCAAAGAUCCCCGAGCUGCCGCAAAACGGUUAACGACGGAGGCGCUGACAAGGAAGAGCAAGGAUGAUAUUUCUUGCAUCGUGAUCCGUUUUAGAUGCUUAACUUAAAACCUUAGGAACAGGGGAAAAAUGGCUCAUGUGAUACAGCAGUAGGUUAUCUUAUUUGUCAUAUGGCUGUGUUUAUAGACUGCAUUUAAAUGAGAAAAAACAUACUUGUAUGUAGAGGCUUGCUGUGACACAUUUGUGUGUGUGUGUGUGUAUAUAUAUCUAUAUAUAUAUAGUAUAAUAUGCAUCUGAUAGAGAGGAGAAAUAGAUUGUAGUAAUCUAACUGUGGUUUGUUCAUAGUCUUCUUGUCGAAUCAAUUGUUCCUGUGUUCUGAUGAAGCUAUUAUUUUCUGUAGUCAAUUUUGUCCACUGUUAAAAGCCGCUGCGGGUAUGAUAAGCUCAGUUUUAUUCAGAUUCAAAGUGCUUUAUUCAGACCUAGCUGCGUUUUGAUCAUUAUUAAAUUUUAGGGUUAUUCGUAUACACGUCUCUGCAAACAUAGUGAAUUGCAGAUAUAUUUCUGCAAAACGAAAAUUUCAUAAGUUGUCCCUGCAAAAGUUCUAAGUUAUGCAGAUAUGUCCCUCUGGUUAAAAUUCGUUAAUGAACUGUUUAUUUUUUAACAGUUUUUUUAUGAAAUGAUUUUUUUGCCUUCACAAAUAUAUCCCUCCAAAAGUAUCUCUCUUUUCCUUCUCUUUCUCUUCCUCUUCGUACCAUCGGAGCGGACGACGGCGGCGGCGCGGGGUCAGGUUCACCGGCGACGAAGAAGAGGGAGGAGAAAGAAGGAGAGGAAGAAGAAGAGGGAAGAGGAAGAAGAAGAGGAAGAGGGGGAGGAAGAGGAAGAAGGAGAGGGUUUGCCGCCGCCGCCGCCGCCGCCGCCGCUGCUGCCGCAUCUCCUCCCUUGCCGGCGAAGAAGAAGAGGGAAGAGGAAGAGGGAGAGGAAGAAGAAGGGCGAAAAGGAAGAGGAAGAGGGAGAGGGAGAGGGAGAGGGUUCGCCGCCGCAGCCGCAUCUUCUCCCUCGCCGGCGACGAAGAAAGGGAAGAGGAAGAGGGAGAGGGAGAGGAAGAAUAAGGGGGAAGAGGAAGAGGAAAAGGGUUCGCCGUCGCGGCGAGGUCGAGGUCGGCGAGGUCGGGGUCGGGUUCGCCGACGACGAAGAAGAGGGUCUGCCGCCACCGCCGCCGCAUCUCCCUCGCCGGCGAUGAAGAAGAGGGAAGAGGAAAAGGAGAAAGAGGAAGAAGGGUAAAAUCGUCAAUUCACAUUAUAAUUAACCAUAGUUAUGUAUUUUAAUCAUAGUUAACGAAAAUUUUCUAACAGAUCUUAACGGCAGAUACAUAUCUGUAUAACUUAGGACUUUUGUAGGGACAACGUAUGGAAUUUUUAUUUUGCAAGAAUAUAUUUGCAAUUCACUAUAUUUGCAGGAACAUGUAUACAAAUAAUCUAAAUUUUAUAUAUACAAUUGAUAUAUACUAUGUGCUACUGCUUUUGGUCUUUUAUGUCCUGGUUUAUUCAUGGUUUCUCAAAAUUAGUACUUACCUGUGGUGUCGUGGUGAGACAAUAUAGCAAAAGUAUUUUUAUUUUUGCAAUAGAAAAUAUAACAAAAAUAUAUUUUAUUUUUGCAUAUUGUCUUAAGUUGGUUAUUAUAUAUUUUUGUGUCUUAUUGAAAAAUAUAGAAGUAUAUCUAUCUAUGCUUUCGUCUUAAUUCUUUUAUUGAAAGUCUUAAUUCUCUUAUUGAAAAAUAUAAAAGUAUAUCUAUAUAUCCUUUCGCCUUAAUUUUAUUUUAUCUAUUAAAAUUAAUUAGAUAGAACUCAGUAUCAAAAGAGUGCUUAAUAGAUACAACUGGUAUUGUGAUAUAUCUGCUUAGACAAAAUUUGAUCUGUUCGACAUCACAACACAGGGAAUUACACCCACAAAUUGACCACAUUAAUCAUAAAUUUAUGUAUACACAUGACGAUAACAUCUCAAACAUUUAACCGAAAAGCAAACAUAACAAACACAAGGUGUUUGGCACCAUGUUUCGCGAACAAUAGGUGACUAUUACAUGCAUACCAAACAUUAACAGCAGCAUAUAAUAUAAUACAAUAUUACAAUAUAAUAAUUAAUACAAACACAGCUUCAUCAGCCCAACAAUUAGCCACGUGGAGGUAAUCAGACGGUGCAUAUUGCUUCGAUUUUUUUUUAUUUUUCACUGUCAAUCUUAUUAAGAAUGUAGUCAGUAGUCAAUGGUCGGAACACGGUCGGUUCCUCCUCCAGCGCUGCGACGAAUCUCCGCGCAAGGUGGGCGUAGACGACCCAAUCUCCGCUGCCGCGGGGAAUCGGCAUCACGUAACCUGCUCCGUCGCCCCACGGGAAGUGGUACGACCCGAACGCCGGCCUCCCCCACCCAAAAUCCGCCUCCUCCGGAAAACCCCUCCCGGAGGACACCACACAUGCCGGUCCCCCUUCCUCUCCGCAGUAUAUCUGUUGAAUAUAAAAUAUAUAAAUAAUAGUACCAAGUAAUCUACAUAUAUCUUAACAAUACUCAAAACUUUAUUUUUCAGCGACUUAAGUUUUUAGAGAGAAUAAUAAAUUUGAUUGUUUAGUUCUCAAUUUUUACAUACCCUCGCCACCGACGGCACGGGGCGGCGCGACUCGACCCAGUCGACGAGGUUCAGGAAGUGCUUCUCUGUCGCCGCGGCGGAUACCCACCCAUGCACGUGUUCGGCCACCUCGUCCAGCUUCAUCCCAUGCAGGGCCUCUACGUCCAACGUCCCGUAGGGGAUCGACAGCACGUUGCCGAAGUAGCCGAGCAUGUCGUCCUCGCCGCCGCAAAGCCGGCCCCGACCGUUCACGACCACUCCCAUGCAGCAGACUUUCUCGUCAGCGUCGGCGGCUUUCGCGAGAAGCCGCCAGAGACACGCUGUGAACGCCUCGAGCUUCGUUUUCCCCUUCCCCGCGGCGGCUUGAAGCGUGGUGACGUCCUUCGCAGCGAUGUAGUAGAUGCGGUUGACGGAGACGGGGGCUGCGGCGGUGUCGGAGUCGGGGGGAGGGGGGAGGGAGGAGAGCGGGGCGUAGAGGCGGUCGAUGGAGGCGUCGACAGCGGCGGCGGGUCGGGGGGAGAGGAGGGAGCUGCGGAAGGUGGGGAGGACGGAGAGCGGCGCCGAGCGCACGGUCUCGGCCCAGGAGACGAUGAACAUGUUGGUGGAGUAGGCGUCGGCGACGCGGUGGUCGAAGGUGCAGGCCACCACCACACCGCCGCACUUGAGCUCAGUGGCCUGUUGGCGGGAAGGAAGGAAAAAACUAGUACUACCCAAAAUAAUUAAUUGUUAUAAAAUCAAAUCUAGUGUAUUACUAUAAUUGUUAUAAAAUUUAGUAGUACUAGUGUCCUUAAAAACAGUUCAAUACUCCCAAAUUUAUUUUACUAGUUCAGGGCCCGUGCUUCGCAACGGAUCGAUAGUAUUUCAGUCAAUCAACAUAUAUAAUUAUUAAAAUUUUAAAAUUAAAAAAUAUAAUAAAAAAUAAAAAAUAAAUCAUAUAGCCCUCUAUACAUUAUAAAGCUAAUCUUUUUUUAUUAAUAUUUUUUAACUUUCGGUAUUUUUAGAGUUAAAAUAUGCUAAUAACUUCAUAUAAAAAUUCAAUCAAAUUUAGUAAUUUUAAUAGCUAUUCUAUAAAUAAAUUUUUAAUUAAAAAGUUAAAAUUGUAGGAUUUAUUCUAAACUGCAAAUAUAUGAUGUUAUUCUUAUCUAGUUAAUAUUGAUUGGAGAAAAAAAAAUUAUUAUAUGUAACUGGUGUAUAUUAACACACCAUACACCACAACUUAUAUUAAAGGACUAAUUUUUAAUAUCAAAACUUAAUAAAAUAUAUCUAAAUUAUAAAGUCUAAUAAUUUAAAUAUAUUUACUGAAUUAAAAUUUAAAAUCUCUAUUAAAUAUUUUAAGUAUGUGGUGUAUGUUCUUAUAUGCAUCUGGUAUAGAAAAUACUUAAUAGAGUACAUUCAUAAUUCCAAGAAGAAUAGGAGAAAUUUUUACUUGCACCUAUGUAUACUAAUAUUUCACACACCAUAAAAACAUAUCAGAUGAUUGAUAGAAUAUCUGAUAAUUACCAACCGUUCCUAGAGCAAGUGGCAAAGGGCUUGGUGGUUAGUACUCGAGACCCAAGUUCGAAUCCUAGUUGAGUCACAUUUCUAGCUAAGUUUAUUUCUAAAUGAAAUAAACAAAGCGGGUAGCGUGUUAUCUAUCUCUCAGAAAAAAAAAAAUCUGAUAAUUAGUAUUAAAAAUUUUUGUGAUGUGAUGGAACUGUCAAAUUAUAGGCCUAGUGCAUAUGAUAUUUUAAUAGAACGGGUGCAUGCAAUAUUGUUGAAGUAGAUGAGGAAGAGAAAAGAAGACACGUGUCGUUUCAAGGGCUUCUAAUAUGACUAAACUGUCAAAUUAAUAUAUCUAUAGAUUCUUUAUUGAAGAGUUAUAAAUUUUAUUUUUAAUAUCUAAUAAAAUUUUGAAUAAAGUUAAAAUUAAUACGUAACACGUAACAGUGGAUCGAAAUCUUAUCAAUGAGACAACGAGAACGUCUAACUUCGUUAGAGAGCUUCCACUGAAGUUUUUUCCGCGGUAAGUAACCAACUUGUUACUGUUCCUUGACCAAUUAGUAGUUGUUAAGAAAUUGGGUCUAAUCAGGUUGGGGUGACGAUAGUUGGACUCGUGUUGACCUGUUAACCUACAGAUAACUCCAACUGUGGCGUUGGUACCACGAAUUUUAAGUCUUUUUCUCGAGUGUCCCCAACGAAGUGAGAGGUCUCAAUACUUACCUACUUAAGUUGACUGUGAUGGUUAGUGACUAGUUACCACACAUCUAUCUAACUUAGCACUUGCUUCUUUAAAUAUAUAAAAUCUGGGAGUGCUUAGUUUUUUAGAUGGAUGCGUGCUAUUGACUAUAUAUAGCAAUUCCUAGAGCAAGUGGCAAAGAGUUUGAUGGUUGGUAUUCGAGACCCAAGUUCGAAUCCUAAUUGAUUCACAUUUCAAGCUAAGUUUAUUUCUAAAUAAAAAAACGAAACAGGUAGCGUGCGUGCUUUUUAUCUCUCAAAAAAACUUAUAUAAAUUUAUAAGGCUAGCGUACGUACGGUAUUGGUUUCGUCACUAUCCUGCACCGUAUAUAAGGCUAGUAUUUAUAGAUUGUUGUUAUUGACUACAGCGAAUUAUUUAUUUAUAUAAGUGUAAUUAAAUUACAUUAUUGGUUGUCGUAUUACGAGGCACAUGAUACUUUGGUUCUCAAAUUUUAAUUUAUAAUAAUUUUCAGCUCGAAUUUCUUAAAUUUUUGUAAACAAGUUUCACAACGCAAUUUAAUUAAUUAUAUAUUGAUAUAUAGCUAGUAUGAAAGUAAUUAAUGCAAUAAUAUUAUGAUUUAUUAUGCAACAAUAAUUACAACGUGAAAUUACUCUCAAAUCACCAUAUACAUUAAUUUUAAUCAAUUAAAUUAGAUUGUAAAAUUUGAUUGUAAUAAUUCAAAAAUAUUCAAGCUAAAAAAUUCAACAAAUUAAAUUUUAAAAAUCAAAGUGACACGCGCUUCUCAGUUUGAGGACCAAAUGUGUAAUUUAGCCUUUAUAUAAACUUGCAAGUGUUAUAUUCGUAUAACUUGCUAGAAUCAACAACAACAUCAAUCGAGCUAGCUAGAUGUAUUCUAGCCUUAAUUAUGGCGUAGAAUAGUGAUGAAUAUUAUCAUUGAUAGAGUACGUUUGAUGAAGUUUAAUGAACAUGUUCAUUCAUUUAUAGUUCUUUCCCAUGACCAUUUUUAUUUUAAAAGGCUCAAUCUCAAUCAUUCAUCAUUUUUUUUAAAACGCGGAGCAAAAUUAAACUUUCGUAUACUUAUUUGUAGAAAUAUAUAUAAAACAAAUAACACACUAUCUUUCUCUAAAAUUGAAAAAAUGCGAAUGAACCAGAUGACAUAUUGAGAUUUAGCAUCUAUCCAUAUGAGAGAGAGAGAGAGAGAGAGAGAGAGAGAGAGAGAGAGAGAGAGAGAGUGUAUGUAUAUAAACCUGAACACAGAGCACUCCUUUCUUCUUCUUUGGCACCAGCUUCCCCUCCACACUCUCAUCAGGAUCAUGAAAGCAAAGCUCCCGGAGCUCGGCAUCAGCUCGAGCCUCAACGAAGUCGACACCGCGGUUACUGCACAGCAGCUCCGGCUCGCCGGCCUCGUUGCUCACCACCUCCCCCGCAAAAGGGUAGUACGUCGCGAGGGUCCGCGCCAGCGACGCCUUGAGGGCGGCGACCAUCGUGGCGUACGUCGUUGAAGUUGCCACCGCAUUUUCAUAGCAUAGGAAGAUGCCGACGUCUAACGGCGGUAGAAGCAGGUCGAGGUUCGACAGCGGGCGCCGGUGCUCCUGCAUUGGCAGCGCCGCAGCCACCGUCGUCUUCGCAGUGACAGUCACUGUGUAUGCUUUGCUUGCAACCAUUGUAGAGAGAGAGAGAGAGAGAGAGAGAGAGAGGUGGGGGUGGGUGGUGUUUGGUUGAGGGCAUGGAGAUACAGAGUGUAUAUAUAGAGGAGGGGGUAGUGUAUUUCAAAAGCUUGUGGUUAGAACUUAGAACAGCCACCAAGUCAAUCUUGCAGUUUCCAAGCUAACUCGUGUUCGACUCGAAAUUUCAAGUUCAAAUUCUUUCAAGUUCAAAUUCUCGACUUAGCUCACAAAUGAGCUGAACGAAUGCAAGUUUAUCCUAUCUCGCUCGUGUUUGAUCCGAUACAGCUCAAAAAUAAAUAAAUAAAUAAUACAUAUUAUUUUUAUAUUAAUAUAUAGUAAAUUUAAAUAUUAUAUUAUAUUUUUUAUAUUUUAGAAUGACUUUUAAUAAAUUUAAAUAUUUAUUUAGUAAUACUAAGAGCAAGAGUAAGUAUCGGUAAUUAUAAAUUAAUAAUAAUUUAAAUUAUGAUUAGUGUUAAUAUUUUAUUUAAUUUUGGAAUUAAUUUCGAGUAGAAAACGAAGUGAAUUAUUCCAGCUCACAGGUACCCGUGUUCGGCAGGUGGCAUUCCCUACUUAAGAAUAAAAAUGUUAUGAAACAACCGUUCUACUCUAAGGUAUCGUUUGGUUCGGGGAUAAGUAAAAAGUGGGUAUUCCAGGGAUAGGUAUAAAUUAAGGUAUAAGCGAGGAUUAGAUCAAUUUUGUGUUUGGAUGAAAAUUGAGUUAUUGCUGGGAAUAAGAAAAAUAGCGUUUGGUUAGGUAAGAUGGGAUAAGAAUUAAAGUUGGUAGUUAAAAAUAAAAAAUAAUGAUAUUAUCUUUUUCUUUAUAUUAGAAUUUAAACUUUUAUAUUUUAUAUUUAUAUUUUAAAAGUUAAAAUAUAAACUUUUAAUUUAAAAAUUAAAAUUAAAAUUUUAAAUUUUAAAAUCUCAAAUUUAUAAUUUUAAAAAAUUAAUUUUUUAAAGUUUGAACAUUAAAUUUAAGNAUUUAUAUGUAUAACAAUAAUAAAUUUAAAGUGAUUUUUCAUAAAUCUAAUAAUGACUCUUUCUUCGAUUUUAAUCAUUGAGACUAUUUAACAGAUUUUUACGCCUUCCAAUUUUUAUAAUAAAAUUUUUAAAUGGUAUAAGAUUAUAUCUAUUAGAUUAAUUUUACUUUUAGUUAAAUUGUCAACAAUUAGGCGUGGUGUAAAAUGUGUACCGGUGUACUAUUAUGUGUAUGGAACAACUUUUUGAGUAAAUUUUUGGCAACUUGCAGGCAGAGCAGAUUUUAGCUUGAUUUCCUCAUCAUGGACGGUCUGCCCUCUCCUCAAUAUUCGCUGCUAAAGUUAGGGGCUGUUUGGUUGUACGCACUGCAUGCGUGCAGCCACAAUUCUUUUGUUUGAUUUAGUGUAGUUGAGUUCAACUGCUGCAGUUCCAACUGCAUAAGAAGGUCCAAAUGCUGCAGUUGGAACUACAUCCAAAUUGGUCGUAGUUCCAACUGCAGCAGUUGGUGAGGGAUAUGAUCACCCACAAAUUAAUAAUAAUAAAUAAAUAAAUAAAUAAAUAGCUAAAUAAAUAAAUAAUAUAUGUAUAUAGGUAAAUAAAAAUACUUAUAAAUAAACUCAUACUAAUAAAAAUUUUUAGACAAUACAAGCUUUGUGCAAAAAAUUAAUUUUUUUUAAAUUUAUUUUAUUUAAAAUAUAAAUAUAGUUUUUUUUUCUAAAUUUGUAUAGAAUGUGAUCGUGUAUGUUAAUUUAAUAAGUUUUAAUUAAUUAUAAUUAUUAAAUUUGAUAAAAAAAAUGAGAGAAUCGUUUAAAUUUUUAAAGUUGGAUUUACAUAUUAAAAUUAAAUAAAUUAAAAAUUUUAAAUGUGUCGAUUAAUAAGUUGAAGAAUUAUUGAAAAAUAUAAAAAUAUUAUAUAUAUCUGCUUAUUUAUUUAUAAAUAGUAAAUUUAAAUAAUUAAUAAAUUUGUAUAAUUAUUUUAUGUUUAGUGAAGGUAACCUCACCACUCUAUCUGAAGAGGUGACAAAAUUCAUAAAUACAACUAUCAGCUUCAUAUUACCAAACAGAAGAAAUGUAACUGCAGCAGUUGCAACUGCGUAAAACCAAACAGACUAGGUGUAGUUAUAACUGCAGCAUUUGCAACUGCAUGUAUUUCCAACUACACUGUUUCUACAACUACAUCCAACCAAACGGCCCCUUAGUGCUGCAGGCAAUUCCUACAUAAAAGGGAAAAUUUUUUGAGUACUCCUCUAAAUAUGUAUAUUUUCACUAACACCCUUAUAAUAUUGAAAUACACAAAUGCAAAUAACUUUAUAUCCGAAUUAACACGACGGAAAAGCAAAUUCUAAUUUUACGCUCACUCUAUCACCAAUAUUCCUUAAGGUAUCGUUUGGUUCGGGAAUAAACAAAAAGUGGGUAUUCCGGGGAUAAGUAUAAAUUGAGGUAUAAGCGAGGAUUAGAUCAAUUUUGCGUUUGGAUGAAAAUUGAGUUAUUGCUGGGAAUAAGAAAAAUAGCGUUUGGUUAUGUAAGAUAGUAUAAGAAUUAAAGUUGGUAGUUAAAAAUAAAAAAUAAUGACAUUAUCUUUUUCUUUAUAUUAGAAUUUAAACUUUUAUAUUUUAUAUAUAUUUUUUAAAAUUUAAAAUAUAAACUUUUAAUUUAAAAAUUAAAAUUAAAAUUUUAAAUUUUAAAAUCUCAAAUUUAUAAUUUAAAAAAUCAAUUUUUUAAAGUUUGAACAUUAAAUUUAAGAUGAAAUUUUAAUUUAAAAAAUAACAUAUCAAAUUCUAAAUAUAAAAAAAUUAAAAUAUCAAAAUUUUAAAUUUUAAAUUAAACAAUUUAAAAUUUAAAUUUUUAAUUUUGUAAUUUUAAAAUUAUAAAUUUUAAUUUUUGAAUUUAUAAUUUAAAUUUUAUAAUAAAUUAAAAACUCUCUCUCUCUCUCUCUCUUCAUGGGUGGAACAAGCAGGGUGAUCCUAAAAAUACUUUUUUUAAAAUUCAAAAAUUAAAAUUAAAAAUUUUUAAUUUUUAAUUUCAAAUUUNUGCGUCCGUGAUGAACUGGUAAAGGGAUUUAACUGUGAAUAGUUGGUUGGAGGUCCACCGCCAUUUGACCGAGUCUGGCCUGUCACUCGGGCAGAGACCUUGGAGCAAGCCUUUGAGCGACGAUACCUGUCUUCGUCUAUCGGCGGAUGAGGCAGUCGUGAAACCCCGACAGAUAAAGCGCCAUCUCCAUCUGCCAUGGUCCCAACAUUGGGAGAUCCGGGCUUCCUUGUUCGUGAUAUUUGAAAAGAUAUCCGGGAAUUGAGUACGAAGAGAGGAUUCUCCAGUCCAGAUGUCGGACCAUAUCCUGAUGUUACUUCCGUCACCGAGCUCAUAGGUUACGCUGCAGGAAAACACGUCUCGACAGUAGAGCACGCUCUUCCACCACUGAGAAUAGGGGGCGAAGGCUUUGCCCUCAAGCAGUGGCUUACGUCUGAUGUAGUAGAGGCAUCUAAUCAGUUUGCACCAUAGGAGGUCCGGGAUGGUAAAGAAACGCCACCACCAUUUGGUUAAGAGAGCCAGAUUCAUAGAUUGUAGGUCUAGGAUACCAAGCCCGCCGUCUCUUUUACUUUUGCAUACUGAAACCCAGUUGACGAGGCAAGCGCCACCAGUGAUUUUGGAGCACCCUUUCUAGAAGAAAGCUCUUCUGAGUCCCUCAAUACGGUUUAACACCCACUUAGGAGCCUUAAAGAUAGAAAAGUAGAAUAGUGGUAGGUUGGUGAGUACUGAGUUAACGAGCGUGGUCAUAACUUUCUAAGCCAGAGGCACGGUAGAUAUAGAGUUGCUCUCCGAGCCAUCCUCAUUUAUACAAUCUAUCAGCAGUGAGAAUUCUCUUUCGUAGUAAAAGCCAGAUGAAUAUUUUGAUUUUAGUCGGAAUUCUUCAAUCUCGAAAUAAAUUUGCUUGUCGAAUAUCUCAUUCCUGUAUCCGUAAGAAACAAGUAUAGAGAUUUGACAGUGAACUAUUGAUUCGAGGUCCAAUGCCGGCUAACAAGAUCCGACCUGUUGGAAGGCUGGGCGAAUUGUAGCACUUCCUUAAGUUCCAUUAGUCGAUCGACUACAUCUAACUGCAUAUGGAGAUGUAGCAUACCCGCGACAAAUGUAACGCCAUCUCCACCAUUUGGAUUCCAGCAAUGAGACACUUUGGCAUUUGUUAAAUAUAAAAAUGUUUAAACACCGUUCUCUAACAGCUUAAAUUUUUAGAGUACAACGAUUAUAGCAUAUGGUGUCAGAGCAGGGGAGGUCCUGUCAGUCCGGAGUCUGUUCGACGCGCCCAGGCCGAGCCAAAUUGGUAGCGGUCGCGGGGCGUGACAGUAAUAUUCUUCCCAUUUUAGUUCAAGUGAACCAUGACAUCGAUUUGGGCCAAAUUUACAAUAUCGAGUCAUAACAGAGCAAAAAAAUGAGGUGGGACUCUUAAAUCGAUAAAAAUGAGAAAAAGCACUCGUUCGCUAACAGCUUAAACUGUUAGGCCAUGUUUGGUUGGGGAACAAGGGUGGGGAUAAGAGGUUAUCCCCCCCUUGUUCCCCAAACACUAUUUUUAAAGGUGGGAACUAGCUAUUCCCACCCUUAACGGGUUAUCCUAGGAUAACCCGUUAAGGGUGGGAAUAGCUAGUUCCCACCUUUAAAAAUAGUGUUUGGGGAACAAGGGGGGGAUAACCUCUUAUCCCCACCCUUGUUCCCCAACCAAACAUGGCCUAAAAGUUUAAGCUGUUAGAGAACGGUGUUUAAACAUUUUUAUAUUUAACACUCCCCCUCACGUUUGGGCUCGAGACUUUUUAAUCGGCCCAUGACAUGGGCUUGAAAUAAAUGGGAAGAAAUUAAUAUACUAGGAGCCUGGCGUGACUCGAACUCAGGACCUCCUGCUCUGACACCAUAUGAAAUAAUCGUUGUACUCUAAAAAUUUAAGCUGUUAGAGAACGGUGUUUAAACAUUUUUAUAUUUAACAAAUGCCAAAGUGUCUCAUUGCUGGAAUCCAAAUGGUGGAGAUGGCGUUACAUUUGUCGCGGGUAUGCUACAUCUCCAUAUGCAGUUAGAUGUAGUCGAUCGACUAAUGGAACUUAAGGAAGUGCUACAAUUCGCCCAGCCUUCCAACAGGUCGGAUCUUGUUAGCCGGCAUUGGACCUCGAAUCAAUAGUUCACUGUCAAAUCUCUAUACUUGUUUCUUACGGAUACAGGAAUGAGAUAUUCGACAAGCAAAUUUAUUUCGAGAUUGAAGAAUUCCGACUAAAAUCAAAAUAUUCAUCUGGCUUUUACUACGAAAGAGAAUUCUCACUGCUGAUAGAUUGUAUAAAUGAGGAUGGCUCGGAGAGCAACUCUAUAUCUACCGUGCCUCUGGCUUAGAAAGUUAUGACCACGCUCGUUAACUCAGUACUCACCAACCUACCACUAUUCUACUUUUCUAUCUUUAAGGCUCCUAAGUGGGUGUUAAACCGUAUUGAGGGACUCAGAAGAGCUUUCUUCUAGAAAGGGUGCUCCAAAAUCACUGGUGGCGCUUGCCUCGUCAACUGGGUUUCAGUAUGCAAAAGUAAAAGAGACGGCGGGCUUGGUAUCCUAGACCUACAAUCUAUGAAUCUGGCUCUCUUAACCAAAUGGUGGUGGCGUUUCUUUACCAUCCCGGACCUCCUAUGGUGCAAACUGAUUAGAUGCCUCUACUACAUCAGACGUAAGCCACUGCUUGAGGGCAAAGCCUUCGCCCCCUAUUCUCAGUGGUGGAAGAGCGUGCUCUACUGUCGAGACGUGUUUUCCUGCAGCGUAACCUAUGAGCUCGGUGACGGAAGUAACAUCAGGAUAUGGUCCGACAUCUGGACUGGAGAAUCCUCUCUUCGUACUCAAUUCCCGGAUAUCUUUUCAAAUAUCACGAACAAGGAAGCCCGGAUCUCCCAAUGUUGGGACCAUGGCAGAUGGAGAUGGCGCUUUAUCUGUCGGGGUUUCACGACUGCCUCAUCCGCCGAUAGACGAAGACAGGUAUCGUCGCUCAAAGGCUUGCUCCAAGGUCUCUGCCCGAGUGACAGGCCAGACUCGGUCAAAUGGCGGUGGACCUCCAACCAACUAUUCACAGUUAAAUCCCUUUACCAGUUCAUCACGGACGCAGGAGUCCGGGUCUCGAUGAAUAAGCACAUCUGGAAGCUGAAAAUUCCCGUUAAAAUUAAGAUCUUUAUUUGGCUGCUUCUCAGAAAAAGACUUCCCACCGCCGACAGACUGCUCACCCGCGGCAUGCACGUAGACCAGAACUGUACUUUCUGCGCAGUCCUAACGGAAAGCUGCGACCACCUUUUCUGCGACUGCGUUUACGUCAGAUAUCUUCUUCUUAGUAUGGGAGGACUGGAUGCGAAAGUCAGUAGUAUUGAUGACCCUUUAGGUCUCUGGACCGAAAGUACUAAACUACCUGCCGCCACGACGCGAAACCAAUGCUUGAUCAUUCUAGCUGCAACUUGGUGGGUAAUCUGGACGGAUAGAAACAAUUCUAUUUUCAAUGGAAAGUCGCCCACGGUCUCCGGGUCCCUUCAACGGCUCAAAUUACUGAUCAGCACUUGGACCACUAUGCUCUGAUGCCCUAUGUACCUUCCCUUUCUGUUCCACUUUUUUUCUUUUUUCUUCUUAUGCUCUGAUGCCCUAAGUACCCUCCCUUUCUGUUCCACUCUUUUUUCUUUUUUCUUCUUUCUUACUCCUUUUUUCAACCUUUUGCCGCUCUCUCGGAGGCCUAAGCUGCCUCCAACUUAUAUGCUCAGUUCAUUUGACCUAAUGAAUGAAGCAGAUAGCUUGCUACCUAUUUUCUCAAAAAAAAAGAAAGUUAUGACCACUUUUUUGUAACUGUGUGUUGGUUAAAUAUUUACUCCUAGUUGCGGAAGGAACAAGGAUACUAACUGGGCCUAUGGAGGAGGCCCUAGGACUCUAGACUAAGACACCACGUUUUGAAGACGCUAGAAAGAGAACAAUAGAUCUAACCCUUCUCUCAGUGGUAUGGUGGGUUGUCGGGACCGAAAAAAACAAAAGUAUUUUCAGAGCGAAAUACAUUGCACCUUACCAGAUGAUCAAACAGAUCAAAUUACUGAUGCGAGAUUAGAUAAACAACUGCUAAAAAAUGCUAACUGCUUAUGGUUUACGCUUUUCUUUUUUCCAGGAGGCUUUCUCUGUUUCCAUUUUGUAUGUUUAAUUCAUCUCUCUUAUUAAAUGAAGCGGAUAGCUUGCUAUUUUUUCUAAAAAAAAAAAACAAAAAAAAUCUAUUAGGUGCUCAUUUUAGAUUCUCGGAUGAGGAUGGCUCUAAUUAAUGAACUUUAUAUUUUCUCCUUUUUUAUAAAGAAAAAUAUACUUCAAAUAUUUGCUUUAUAUUUACGGCCUUUUAUAUUGCACUGAAAAUAUAGUGGACAGUGAGCAACAUACACAUCGCAUAUUUAAUGGAAAAAAAUCAUAUAAUAAAAUAAAAUAAAUUAUAAAUUAUAAAAUAUUGAGUAAUUGAAGGACUAAGUAAAGUACACACAACAUAUGUAUCCAAAAAAUUAUUCACUUUUUUAUAUAUAUAAACUGCCAUAUUAGUACAAAGUAUUUGUGAUGAGAUAAUUAAUUAAGGGAAAGAAAGCGUGCAUUAUAUAUAGCUUAAUUGCUUAGUCCACUAAUUAAUUAACUCGAUUUUUCUUCUUUAUAUCUUUAAUAUAUACCUGGGAAAAGGACCCACACAGUUUUACCUUUUCAAUUUUGUUUUUGUUUCUUAAUUACAUUAACAUGUUACCUGAUAUACCUUACAAAAUUAAAAAAAAUUUCUAUAAUAUAGCGCAUUUGCAUUUUACUAUCUUACCGCCGUACGUUCAUACUAUAGUAACAUACUAGUAUUUAGUACCCUAUAUAUGGGUUGUGUUUUAUUUAGUUUUUCUUAAGAACCUUCCAUUGAAAAAAAAAAAAAUUAAGUGUUAAUUUUACAAAGCAUGAAAAUGUGGUAAAUAUAGCAAUUUAUCAUCGCAGUAUUCAUAAAACAUAGUUUUUUUUUAAUCAAUUUUAAUGCAAGAUUUUCAGAAAAACUAAACCGAAAAUUAUAAGAGGACAAAGUAAUAUAUUUUAAAUUUGGUCCGAGCAAAGCAAUGUUUUUUGAAGUUUCUCUAUAACUUUUGUGUAGCUAGUGAAAAGUAAUAGUAAGUUUACCAAACAAAGAUGUAAAGAGAGCCUUUUCGUUGGCCUAUUAAUUACCUUUUCACCAUUAAAUAAAAUCCUGAUGCAACUUAAUUUCCCACAUACCUAAUCCAACUAUUGUGGCACUAAAAUAUAAUUUGCGCGCACAAAUUAUGGCCUACUUUGAAUAGCAUACUAACUAAGCUUUCAAUAUAUCGCUUCAAUAUAUAUAUGUUCAUUAUAUAAACCAAUUGUAUAAGGUCCAUGGUCACUAUCAACUGUUUCCCUAGUUAAUUUAUCUUCUCCUUUUAGAUAACAUAAUUCAAUCAAACGACAAAGUCAAUAUUGUGUGUAUAAUUAGAUAACCGAAGUUACGCCGUUGAUUACGCGUAAUUAAUGGUAGAAAACAAAUAUAAUGUUUACAUAGAUGAUAACAUGGGAAUGAGGUGAGAAACUCAGAACAACAAUCUAAAGUUCUCUCGCUACAUUUUGCAGAAUAAAGAUGGUAUUAAUUUCCAAUAAUUUCCUUUUUAAUUACCUCCCUCUAAAUAGUGCUUUGUUGGAAUCUACACUUGCAAAGAUUCCAGUUAAAUAAAGCCACAACAGAAACUAAGUUAUUCAAUUUAUACGAAAGAUAAUAUUAAUUGCUAACCAACUGUGAACCAAGGUUUGCAUGCUAACCCAUUAGUAGUUACAUUUUUCCCACAAAAUAUAGGCAAAAUGCAACCACGUUAUAUCUGAGAGAACAUAACAAUUAAGCACCUAAAAAGUAAAGAGAUGCAGCAUCAGGGGUUUUCUUUAAUAUUUGAAGUAAACUUUUGAAAUGGAAUGAGAUGUUGAUUACGAUCGUAGUUUUAAUUUGUGUUAGUAUUAUUUGUCAGGGCCUCUUUUGAGUACUAUGUAAUGAAUGAAUCACUAAUAAAUCCAAUUACCUCAAGAAGAUCAUGUUUAUGUCACCAUUGUUAGUGCCAUCAUUAUUAAUUGCGCUAGUGAAAAGAUAGGUAGGUCACCAAACAGAAGCUACAUGAACCAAAAAGACACUACCAACAAAAAAAAUGCUUCACAAGGAAACAAGAAUUGAAGCUAUCUAAAUUAAUAUAAAAUUCAUUACUAUUAUAGAAAAAAUACCAGCAAUCAAAUCUUGCUAAACCACCACCACUUCUCCCUUUGCUGACUCAUUUGGAAUUUUNCGGGGUUCAUUUGAAAUAUAUAUCAAACAAACAUAUUUUUUCUUUUCUUUUAAAGUAAAAAAAAAAAAAAACACCAUAUCUAAUCAUUUCUGACCUACAACUUAGAACAGGAUAAAGGGCAAAGUCUAGUGCUGAUUCUUGUAAUUUUCCCAUGACUCUACUUCAAAUCUUUGUACUUUAAUUUUUAUAUAUUUCAAAUGAACCCCGCCAUAUAUACUGAUAAAAAAGAUUACUGAGAUAAGAAAAGAAAUUAAAUUCAGAACCUUUUACAGCGGACAAGGGUUAGUAUAACACCAUACUAGUACCAUACUACUCAAAAGUAUUGAUGCCCGGAAAUAGUCUAAUCAUUCUAGGUCACCUACAAGUGUUUCUUAAACUAAUAUACAAUAACCACAAAAUCUAGAACAUAAUCCCAUGCAUCCUAGUGUUUCCUAAGCUCUUUUCACCUCUUCUUUUUUUUUUCCCCCCUUCUUUUAACCACAAUUAAAUUACAUAUUAUAUAUGCCUCCAAAUCAAUUCCUAAUUGAAGUAGUUGUGUCACGCGCGGAGCUCGAGGCAUUACUAAUCAAAAGAAAAUGACUUCAAACCUUGUUAUGGUCUUAUGGAUCACCUCAAGCUACUUUACAAAGGUUUCUUUCAAUACACACUCUUGUUGGUUGCAACUAGAGAACAAAAGGUACAAUAUAUAACAUCACCCACUCAAACUUAUAAACAAGGGGAUAAUAAUAAUAUAAGUAUCGUUUUGAGCAAGGAAUUGGGUUUGGUGCUGUUGUCAACAAAUAUAAAGUACCCAAUGUAAGGUAAGAUAAAAAUAAUGAAAUUUAUAGAUGAAGGUUUUUGAUCUAAUUUCUCUCUUUCAGAUAAGUGUGAUGUUUUUGUUUAUGCUCAUUCUUAUAAAAAUAUCAACCAAAUUGAGAAGCAUAUGACUCUUGUGGUUAAAUGAUCGAAUAGCAACCAAAUUGAAGUGAAAAAAAAUUUAAAAAAAAAAAGAAAAGAAAAUAUAAGCUAAAAGUAUAAGGACUAAGUUGCAAUAUUGGGAUAUGCGGGGACUAUACAUUAUUGGGGCCGUUUGGGUGUAGUUGGGCCCUUUCUCUCCAAUGUAGCUCAUAAUGAGCACCGUUAACUUCUUUUAAUUAAGGCCCUGAACGAUAUGAGCCCGUUCCGACCCAUUAACAAAAGAAAAUACCGUGGUCCACGUCCACCACGUCACCCGUGGACCGCCCUCAGUAAUAAAGCUUUGCGAGGCGAAUUUUACUUUUUUUUUGGGAAAUUUCAGGAAGAGACGAAAUAGCUGGUCUGUGGCUGGUCGGUCCAUUGAUGAUGUGGUGAACCUAGUCCAUUACCAAUUUCUCCGUUGCAAAGCCCAAUUUAUCUCGGCCCAUUAGAAAUAUUUUAGGCCUUAACAGUUCCCACACUCUCGGAGCUCCAUUUUGGUCGUCUUCUACCUCCUAUUGGUUUGACCCAAAAAAAAAAAAAAAAAAAAAAAAAAAAAUUGUCGCACUUCUCAAAUCGGUCAAACCCUACCUUGCCGAUCACUGAAUCCUUUUUUUUUCAAGAUCUAUUUAUUUGAUAUAAUGGGAAACACCCGAUUAAGUUUUUCCUACUUAAAUUCUCUCUCGAUUAGGUUAUAGAUCGAGAGAUCUCUACAAGGAUCAAAUUACACGAUUUAAGCUUCCAAUGGUGAGUAUAAACAAUUUUCCCGAUUCCUUUUUAUCUGAUUUUAUUUACUUUUUGCGUUAACUAAAUACCUAGAUUCGGCUUCUUGGUAUUUUGGUAGUUCACCUGUUUUUUUGUUUGAUGUUAAAUAUGUGUGAAAUUAUGGUUGAGGAUCAUAGAAGCAAUUUGCCAUUUGAAUGUGGAGCAUUAGGAUUUCUAAAUGAGAAAUUACUCGUCAAACUUGUGUAUUAGUGAUUUCGUUGAACUUAGUUUUAGGUUCUUCAAGUAUUGAUUCACCAAUUGGGUCUAGGGAUUUGCCCAAAAUGCAAGCUUUUACUAUUAUAGUUCAUUUCCAAGUAAUUUGCAUCAUGAAAUUAGGAGGGAGUAGCUUUUAAACAUUGUUUUCUUCUUUUCGCAUGCUUAUACCUCUAAAUUGUUAGAAAGUUUGUGUUAAAACUAUAGUAUAGAACCCCAGGAUCAAUAAAAUUACCCAACUUGUGAAGUGUAUCUCUUGUAUUAACAGAGAACUCUCUUUAGUAAAGUAAUGCCGUGUGUCCUUGAUCCCAAUUUGGGAUUUUCAGAUGGAAGAUGUACAAUCUACUUUUACGGUGGAUGAGGCACUCGUGUCGUUGGGUUUCGGGAAAUUUCAAGCCUUUGUGCUUGUCUACGCUGGAAUGGGAUGGGUUGCAGAAGCAAUGGAGAUGAUGCUUUUGUCGUUCGUAGGGCCAGCAGUGCAAGUACAAUGGAAGCUUUCUUCUCACCAAGAGAGCUUGAUCACUAGUGUCGUUUUCGUUGGAAUGUUAAUAGGAGCUUAUUCUUGGGGCAUUGUUUCGGACAGCUACGGCAGGAGGCAGGUCCAUUUUUGAUGUUUUUAUUGCCUUACUAUGUUAUGUCCAUUGUGUGAAUGCCUAUUCCACUUAUAGAAUCCUACUUUUAAUCAUUUUUCACCCCAUAUUGAAGUUAGUGAUCUUACCGUGUCUUUCCAUACAAUUUUUAUUUUCCUUGUGAAUGCUAAAAGAAUGUUCUUUUAGAUAAACGACAACGAACUUAAUGCUCAUCAUGUGCGUCCUCUUUUUCAUAGAUCAAUCUGCUAGUCUGUACUACAGUACAUGUUGCGGCGACAAUGCACUGGCAUUACCAUAACAUGCAAUGGUAGGAACUAUGCUAGCUAAAGGAGAACACGAGCACAAGCAUUCAACACUUGCACCUUGGUUCUAUUACUAAUCACUGAAAAUUUCCAUUAAGCUUGAAACUAUUGAAGGAUAUUUGGGUUGUCAUUUGCAAUCUCAAUCUUGUGCAUUGCGCUUUCCAGAAUCUAGAUUAGCAGCUCUAGUUAACACUGUAAAGCGAUGUACAUGUAUAAAAGGUUUAUAUUUUAUAAGCCAACAAUGUAAAAGUAAGGUUUGAUAUCAUUAUCCGAAGAAUUUGAUUUUGGUAUCCACAAAGUAUACACCAAAUAUAUAUUCUUUAUUCCUAAUGAAUACGCAUGAUGCCAGGACUCUAUCAACAUUAUUUGAUCAUGUUUCAUUUAACUAAGAUCACCGUCAAAAAUCAUCUUGCAUGAUCAUUUGUAAAUUGAUAUAGCUCAUGACUUUAUACAUUUUUCUCAGGACGGGGUUUCUCUUCACAGCCCUUGUGACCAGUGUAGCCGGUCUAGUGAGUGCUUUUGCUCCUAACUAUACGUCUUUGAUAAUUAUGAGAUUUUUUGUUGGUAUUGGCCUGGGAGGAGGGCCGGUGCUUUCGUCAUGGUUUUUGGAGUUCAUUCCUGCUCCAAACAGGGGGACUUGGAUGGUCAUAUUUUCGGCUUUUUGGACCAUCGGCACUAUAUUUGAGGCUUCUCUUGCAUGGGUAUGACCAGUUUAUGCUCAAGCCCUAAUAUCCUUUACAAUAUUUCUCUUUACAAAUCAAUAAUUCAUUUUACUCUUUUACAUUGUUUCCAUUAUAUGCACAUUCCUUGUCCUUUAUGAAGAAGCAAUAUGCAAAUUAGGAUCGGUCGGUUGCAUAUUCUAACAAAUAAUUAUAUAUUAUCUCAAUGAUUAAUCUUUCAUCGAAAUUGAACUUGCAGGCUAUUAUGCCGAAAUUCGGGUGGAGGUGGUUGCUCGGAUUGUCAGCUUUACCCUCUUUUCUUCUGCUACUUUUUUACUCUUUCACACCUGAAUCGCCAAGAUAUCUAUGCAUGAAUGGCAGAGUAACUGAUGCAACGGGUAUUUUGGAAAAGAUGGCAAAAGCAAACCGUGGGAAACUCCCUCCUGGGAGGCUUGUUUCCGACCACAAAAUUGAGCUUGAUGAAAUUUCUGAUUCGUCUGAAGCUACCUAUUUAGUUUCUGUUGAGAAACAAAACGAUAUAGAUGAGGACACGAACUCAAAAAAUGGAGGGAUCAGAGCAGUUUUGAAGCUUCUAACACCUAGUUUAAUUAGAUCGACUCUUCUUCUUUGGAUGGUUUUCUUCGGGAACGCAUUUUCUUAUUACGGUAUCGUCUUACUAACUUCUGAACUAAGUAAUGGGAACAGGGCAUGUGCAUCGAAGGAGAUGCAGUCAAGCCAUACUGAUGAUGUUAGUCUCUACAAAAAUGUAUUUGUCUCGAGCUUUGCCGGUAAGUUACCAUUGAACAUUUAUCUUAUCCCCAUCAAAAUAUUUGAAAACUGCAUCUAGUUCGAUUGUUCCUAAAGCUUGUUUUCUAUUCUUGUUUUAUUCUGCAUCAGAGAUUCCAGGGCUGGUUCUAUCAGCUGUAAUGGUGGAUAGGAUUGGUCGAAAGCUUUCAAUGUCUUCAAUGCUUUUCAUAAGCUGUGUUUUCUUGCUUCCGCUGGUAUUUCAUCAGACAGAAGCAAUAACAACAGCAUCCCUAUUUGGUGCUCGAAUUUGCAUCUCCGCAAGCUUCACCAUCGUAUAUAUCUAUGCACCCGAGGUUAGUGCAACUAAUUCAGAUUACAACAGUUUCUUUUAGGUCACAUAGCAUAUAUAUAUAUAUAUAUAUAUAUAUAUAUAUAUAUAUAUAUAUAUAUAAACCUUUUUACUUUUCGUAUCUCUCCGUGUCAUAUAGUGAAAACAGAGGGGGGUGCUCGCUGAGAUGGCUACAAUCUUGUUGAUAGCAUAAUAAUUUCUUUUUACUCAUCUCUCAACACCUACUAUAACCUAAAUCUACCCAUUUAACAGUUUCUUUUUUUUUCUUUUUCUCGUGAUUAGAUAUAUCCAACAUCAGUUAGGACGACCGGGAUCGGUAUCGCAAGCUCUGUGGGGAGGAUCGGCGGAAUCCUUUGCCCACUUGUUGCCGUCGGAUUGGUGCAUGGUUGUCAUCAGACAAGUGCAGUUCUUUUGUUUGAAUUAGUAAUUUUCCUUUCAGGAAUAGCUGUUUCUUUAUUCCCUUUUGAAACAAGUGGUUGUAAGCUUAAUGACACUAUCAUUGAUCUGAAGUAGAGAAACAAUAGCAAUAUCCACUCACUCCCGAUGACAUAUGAUAGUAACUUAUUGUUUUAUGGAAUCAACUAGACAACUGUGUUCAGAAUUUUUUUUUUUAAGAGUGUACGGAUACAACUGUGUUCAGAAUUUUCAGACUUAAUUGCAAGGAUGAAUUGAAUCAAACAUGUGAUUUGAGCAGAACAGAGCUAGAAAGUUAACAUUUCAAUAACAAAAUGUCAACGGUCGACACCAUAUUAAGAGAACUACAUCACACAUCUUGUAAGUACAAGCAUUAGUACAAGCAUAUCAUCAAGCAACAUGAAAUAGAAAAAGGUUUCAGGAUAAUCUUUCGCUGCUCAAGCUUUGUUCGCAGCUAUUACAACACUAACCAAAAUAAGCUUUCAGGAUACUCUUCCCACGGCAUUCCCUACAGCAAGCACCAAUUCAUCUGCAAAGGAAAUGAGAGCAGUUAAAUCAAUAACAAGAUAGAUAUAAAUGAACAGUAAAAAUAGACAUCAACAAUGAAACUUCUCCUUGAAACGGAGUUACUAUGAUUGCAUUUCAACAUGCAAAAGAUGCAAUCAAGCCAUGCUACAGAGAGCAUUAAACUAGUCAACAAAUAUUAAACAACAGUUGAAUGUUCACUAGAUGAUCUAGCGAGCUAAUGCAAACUAGGGAGGGAACUAUAUGAUGCUCACUGUUUUAAAAAUAUCUGUAGCAUCAUCGUCGUCUGUGUCUGCUUGCCUCUGCAGAAUAGUCGUCAUAGUAAUCCUUCUUAGACUGAUGACGGGAGUCUUCAUAUCGUGCCCUCUUAGCCUCAUGUGCAUUCUCAUCUCUGCUGCGGUAUCUGCUUCUGUGUUCAUCCUCCACAUAGCGAUCUUUUAAUAAGCCUCUUCGGUCGUCCCGACUGCCACGAUCGUAGUCCCUAUUUCCUCGGCUUUCCCUCUCCUUCCUAGUCUCUUCUGCUACAUCAGUUCUUCUUGACUUUAAAUCAUUCAAACCAUCAUCGUCCUCUUUCCUCCUUUCCCUCUUGUUUUCUUUUUCAAGGGCUUCAAUAUCCUUGUUUUCGCGCCUUUCUUGCCUUUCUUCAACCCUGUAACUCCUUUCAGAUCUUCUUACAGCAUCUGAUAAAUCCUUCUUAAUAUUUCCAUCAUUAUUGUCUUUUCUCCUUUCCCUUCUGCUUUCUUUUUCAAGGGAAUCAAUGUCAUUGCGUUCACGCCUUUCUUCAACUCGAUAACUCUUUUCAGAUUUCCUUUCACCAUCUAACAUUUCCCUGCUUCGGGCUUUCAGGUAAUCCUCUCUUUCAGUAUUAGCUGAACUAUGCGCUUUUGCUUUCUUAUCCUCUAUUACACUGUCGCGGUCUUUGCCUAUCUUCUUAUUCUCACGUUUAUCCGGACUGCUCAUUAUACUAGCAUCAGAAUCGGAGUCACUACUACUAUAAUCAGAGCUCUCACUUUCACUGUUAUAAUCGGAGCUCUCAUCAUCUGUAUCAUGCCGCCUCCUCUUUUUUAAACUAGUUUCCUUCUUCUCUUCAGUUGACUCCCUUGACUUGGGAUGGCCACUCAACUUUUUAUUAUAAUUUUUUCUUUCCUUACCAGCAUCAGAAUCCUCACUUUCAUGUCUUCUGGUUGAUUUAGUAUUGUUCUCCAACCUCUUUUUUCUAUCCUUUCGAUCAUCAAUAUCGUCUUUUGAACCAUCAGUAUCAUGUCUUCUGCUGCUUUUGUUACGUUUCAUGGAACCUAAGGCAUUUCUCUUUCCUUUCUCCUUUUCAUCAUCAGUAUCACUUGCAUAUUCUGAAUCAUCAGAAUCACUCCUCUUUCGUUUGGCAAUUCUACUGCUUUUCUCUGCUUCCCUCUUCCUAGACUUCCUUUCACUAUCAGUUUCAGAUUCUGAUUCUUCUAAAUCAUGCCUCCGACUCUUUGUCGUUUGCUUCUCAACUGCUCUUUUACUUUCUCUCUGAUAGCUCUCUGAAUCUGAAUCAGCGCCAGCAUCAUGUCUCCUGUGCUUCUCGACACCUUUGCUUUCUCUUCUUUUAUAUUCUUUUCUAGAAUCACUAUCAGAAUCAGAGUCAUCAUCCUCAGAAUCAUGUCUUCGGGAACUCUUCCCAUAUUGUUUCUUAUUCCUAUCAACAUGCGUUCUUUCCCUAUCACUCUCAGAAUCAUCCUCGUACUUGCCCUUUUUGGCAUCUUUAUCCUUCUGUUUUGACACAUCAUUUCGUGAUUUUCUGCUUUCCUCAUACAUCUUUUCCUCAUCAUGUAAGUCCUUCCGAACUUUCUUAUUUUGAAGUUCUUCCUUAUUCUUACUAUCCAACUGUUGAUCAUCCAACUUUUCCGGUCUCUUCUCUAAAUCCUUCAUAUCCUUUUUCUGCCUUUGAGGUUUUUCAUCAACAAAUUCUCCCGAUUCUAAGUCACUUUCUUCUUCUUCAUUAUGUUCAUUUUCUUUUAUACCAAGGGCAGAUCUCAACGUUUCAAGCUGUUUCUCUUUGCGUGCAGCUACAUGAUGGCUUUGUGUGUCAGAAAACCUGAAAAGCUAGCACGGUAAGUAACAGCAUUGCAAGCAACACUGGAUAUUUAAAUUUCAAGACCAUAAGAUGAUAUUUGAAUGGAACAUCUUAUUCUUUUUGUAGAACAGAUUUAAAUAUUAUCGUGGUAAACUUGAAAGGAGCUCAGGACAAGAAUGCCCCACACAUGAUGAUAACGACUUGAGUAACCAAAAUAAAAGUGGCGCUGCCUAUUACAUCUUAUUCAUAAGCUAAUCGCAUUGUCUAGUUGUUCCACAAUUUCAACACAUCAUUCAAGAUUUUUCCUAGCAAUACAAAGUUGUCCAAAGCAUAACCCCAAAAUGAGAACACCCAAAAGUUGGCAAAGCAUAACUCCAAAAUGAAAAUGAUAAAAAAAAAAAAAGAAUCCUUUCAUCAACUCUCAUUUAACAUCAACCUUCUAGACAUUAUCAUCAAAAUUGGGCAAACAAGACUCUCAAUAAAAGCUACAAGACCAAUUGAGAGCUUCAGAGUAAUCUUCCUGGUUGUAGCUCAGAUGCACCUAACACAAGACACGCAUUAUUACUAUCCUCUGGACAUGACUUAAGUCUACAAGAGAAACGACAACUUAUGAAUAUAGGAUGUUUUAUCCCAAGCAUACAUAUAGGAAAUGAGUAGGAUCGAAAAUCUAAACAACAACAAACUUCAUACAAUAGAAUCUACAAAAAUGAUAACUUAAGGCUCUUCAACAGUUCAACCUGAACACUGGUUAACGAAAUUGCUUCAUUUUUAAACAAACUCAGAUAGCAUAAACAAACUCAAGUAGCUGAGUUAAGUAGCAGAUAUUUUUCCUUCUUAAUAUUUUCCCUGUGCAGACACAUCAGGCGUUAAAAGAAGAUUUAUUAAGAGCAAGGAAAAAACGAUCCUAACAACAAAAACAUAACAGAGAAAUUAUAUAAUGCAAUAUGAUAGUCCCCAACUUAAAAAAGCUGCAUGAAGAAGUGAUUGAACCAUCUAAAGUUCACAGCAAGCAAUUUAAAUUUCAAAAGUUCGCAACUCAACAUGCAAGAGAAGAUCUCAAUUCAUAACUAGCAUUCAUAAUUAAUCAAUUUAGUAUCUCAUCAUUAACGAAAAGCUAAAGAGAAACAAGAGAUCAACUCCCUCUCGAUCAAUUAUUCCCACUGUUCUUAAAAUUCAGCGAACCAGAGAUAACAAAACCUACGAGCUGUCGCCGCAUAGGCGAAGAUCUCAUCCAUGUGAAAAACAAAUCAGUGGAAAGCAAUCAAAACCUUUUAUUUGCCAGGGCACGGGAUUCGCCAGAGCCAACCCCAGCAUCCGCCGCAUCAGAGGCAGCGGUAGCCUCCGCCUCGAGGCUCCUCCGUUUCUCUUCGAUCCUCUCGUCGAUCUCGGCCUCAGUGUAGCCCUGAUCCUCGAGGGUCUCCCGGAGGAUCAGGAGCCGGAGCUCGAUCUGGCGCUUGCGGUCGUGCUCGAGUAUGUCCCUGUUCGGCUUCCGCCCGGCGACAUCGGCGGCGGCGUCGCCUCCUCCGGCAGCGGCGGCGGCCGCGUCGGGCUUGUGGGGGCCGGUGCGGGGCUUGACGAAGAACUUGUUGGUCUGGAUGUAGCCGUUGGUCCCCGACCCCCUCGGGGUCUGUAGCCCGAUGCCGUUGUACAUCGCCUUCUCGAAUCCGGGAAACCCUGGAGGAGAGGAAACCCUAGAGAUCGGGGAGAGAGGAGGAGAAAGUGGAGGAGAUCGAUUCGAAACCCUAGAGAGGAAUCGAUUCGAUCCCACAAGCGCUCGCUCGCGAGUGAGAGGUUUGGGAUGAGAUUCCCAAUUCGAACGACGGUGGAGAUGCUCUGGGCGUUUAAUAUCUUAUAUAGCCUGUACGUAGUAGCCAUGUUUGGUUCGAAAUAGGAAUCCAAAUUGGAAUAGAAAUCCGAAUUGGAUCGCGAAACAGAAUUAUGCGGCUCUUAAUUAGUUUAUUUGGUUUACAAUAAAAUUUGGGAUAGGAAUCAACUUAUCAACUUAUUACUACUAUUUGGUUCAGAAAAAAUAAUUUAUUAUUUAAAUUCAUAAUCAAAAUUCAUAAUUUAAAUUAAAAUUUUAACAAUUUAAAUUUGUGUUCUAAGUCAAAAUGAAAAAAACUAUAUUUAAAAUUCUAAUAUCAAACUUAUAUUAACCUUCUAUGUAUAUAUUUGAAUUUAAAUAAUUUUUUUAAAAAAAAUUUAUUUCAAUCUCUUUCGGAAUUAAAAAUUGAUUUACAUCCUCCCUGUUGGGAAUUAUCUUGGAGGGAUUCCAUUCAUCCAUACUAAACCUUAUUUCAAAUUUGGAAUCCUUCCGACCAAACCUGGCCUAAAGUCGGUGAUGAAUGGAGAACUACGCCGACUACGAAAACUAGUUUGGAGGCGAUAUUACGGGCUCAACUGGGCCGGGUUCGAAUCAGGCCCUCUCUAAGCUUUAAUGGGCUUUGGAACGGGAUUGUAGCCCAAAUUUAUUAAAAUGGGCCUAAUGGAGGCCCAAUAUGUAAUAUCCAUCUAUCUAGCCUAGUAUAGAGUUUAAAUAUUGAUUUCAAGUAGUAGAAUGGCCCGAAUCAGGACCUAAGCCCAAAAUCGUAAUGUAGAAACCUACAGCCGAACCCAUAGAAGGCCCGGCCCAAUGUAGCCAUUCAGGAAUUUUCAAGAAAAUUGCCUGGACCUGGUCCAUCACAUCAUCCAUGGACCGGGAAGCACCUCUUUUUAGGCGUGUUUGGUUCGCUUCUUUUUCACUCUGGAAUCGGAAUCAGAAUGGGUGAAUCCGUUUGUCGGUGUUUGGUACGCGGGAGUCUCAUUCCGAUUCCGCCGGAUUGAAAGUUGAAUCCGGACGGAAUCGAUAUUUAUUCGGAUUAAAUAUAUUUUUUCAACUUUUUUAAUUAGAAAUAUGAGUUAAAAUUUAAAAAAUAAAUAUAUAAUUUUAAAUUUUAAUUUGAACUUAAAUUAAAAAUUAAAAUUUAAUCAACUAUUUCGAAUCUAACUUAUGAAUUUGAAUUUAAAUUAAAUUUUAAUUUAUAUAAUAUUUUAUUCAAAUUUUAUUUCAAACUUAAAUUAAAUUUAUGGAUUCAAAUUAAAAUUUAAAUUGUAAUUUUAAGUUUGAAUUUGAAUAAAUCAAAAAUUUAGUUUCAUAUUUUGAAUUAUCCACUCAACUUCAAAGUUUAAUUUUUUUAAAAAAAUAGAUUUAAAAUUUGGACAUUAUCUCAAAAUUUUGAUGUAAAUUUUUAAUAUUUAAUUUUUAAUUUGAAUUUAAAUUAAUAUAUUAUAAAGAUAAUGUUAGUAUAUUAAUUUUAUUACGUUUUUUAUAUCCACCUUAACCAAACACUGACAAUGGCAAUAAUUUAUUCCGAUUUCGAUUCAGCUGAUGAAUCAAACAGAAUUAAGUAAUGAGUCAUUCCGAUUCCGAUUUCAACUUAUUUUGAUUCCGAUUACGAUUCCGACUCCCACAAACCAAACACGCCCUUAAAAUCUCCACCGCACAUUAGAUUCCAUCUAUAUUCAAAAAGGAAAAAAAUAAUAGUAAUUUCUCUACCAUAAUUAAGAUUUCCGGAAGCAGUGGUGGACCGGGUCUAGGCUAAUAUUAGUCUACUGGUAUAGUGGUAUUCACGGAGGUGUAAUUGUCCAAAAUCCAAAUUAAUUUCCACGUGUCAAAUAAUCUUCUAGAACGAACGAGGUGUCACCUCAUACUAUUUGGAAAUCCGAGAUCUAGAGAGUUCCAGGGCAAAAAGACACAAAGAUUAGAGCAAAAGGGUAAAAUGUUACAUCUAGUAACUUAAUUUUAUCGGCAGCAAAGGAUUUAAUUAUUGAUAUUCUAAAUUUUCAAUUUGGAGUGUAAUUAUUUUAUCUUUUAGUUAAAUUUAUUUUUAAAAGUUAAAUAAAAAGGAUAAUAUAUUAUAUUUUCUUUUAAAAACUAAUAUUUUAAAAUUUGGCUGUAAUAAUUUUCAUAUUCAACGAAAUGAUGGGGCAUUAUAAUGAAAAUUGCUAUGAUAGAUUUACAGAAUUUACGUCCUUGUUAAUAUAUUAUAUAUAUAAUUUCUCAAAGAAAAAAAUUACUUAUUUGAAUUAUGUCUCAAAUAGAACCGACGUGGGCUUCUCAACUUGUAUGCCUUUUAGAGUAAAUGUAGAGUAUUUUUUUUAAUAUAUUUUAAAUAUAUAUGUUGAUACACAAAGAGAUAUGAUGGAAAAUUUGAGAUGAGCGAAGGAUGAAAGAUUCACGACCUACAAAUAUAUUAUUGAAUUGCAUGCGCCAAAUAAUAUACAUACAAAUAUAUAUACAUGAAUUUUGAUGUUGUGAAACAUUGAAAUAGGCCUUCUAAGGUCACACAUAAAACACUAAUAAAACACUAAAAAGUGUUUUUUUUUUUUUUUUGGAGAGAUAGAUAGCACGCUACCUGUUUCAUUUAUUUUAUUUAGAAAAAAAUUUAACUAGAAAUGUGAAUCAAUUUGGAUUCGACUUUGGGUCUCGGAUACCAACCAUCAAGCCUUUUUGCCACUUACGCUAGGGACGGUCAGUGUGUACACUUUUAUUUAGAAAGGGUUUAUGGUUAUCUACAUCUACAUCUACAUCUACAUCAACGUCGACAUCGACAUAAUUUGUUAUUGGGUGGAGUACUCACAGUUGUCACAAAGUUGGAUGCUUAAACUCAGCUUCCACUCUAGGUCCUGAGCCUUUUCCCCUACCAGUUCCAAAAAGCCAGCUCCAACUUAUUCCUAUUCCUCUCCCUUCCUCAAUUUCCAUUAUUUCAUAAUAAACAAUUAAUCUUUUCUCUUUCUAAAAAAUUAUGUUUAUUGAACAAUACCACUAGAUCCAUAUUGAAUACUUAUAUUGCCAAAAUUAUUUUCUAAAAUACAAUAAAUUUAACAGUUUUAGAAUGAGUUGGUGUAAAAUUUACACUUUUUUGUUGAGUGCAACAGUGAUUUUUUUUUUUUGAGAGAGAGGGACCAGUAGCACGCUACCUGUUUCGUUUAUUUCAUUUAGAAGUAAAUUUAGCUGGAAAUGUGAAUCAAUUAGGAUUCAAAUUUAGGUCUGGGAUAUCAACCACCAAAUUCUUUGUCACUUACUCUAGAAACGGUUGUCAACAGUGAUAUUUUUUUAAUUUUAUUUUGCGGGGAAACCGAAAGAAACAAAAUGGAGUUCAAACUGAGUUUACUGUCCCUGCAUAAACACUCUCUCUCUCUCUCUCUCUCUCUCUUCUUUAUUAGAGAAAAGAAAAGAAAUGUAAGGGAACAAAACAAACAGAACAAAUUUUGUAGUAGGUAACAGUAACUCUCUCCACCUCUUCUAGCUUUUUUUGGGUGCUCAAGGUCGGUUCCACGCUUGAAGCUUUGUGCUCUCUCUCUCUCUCUCUCUCUCUCUCUCUCUCUCUCUCUCUCUCUCUCUCAUACACUCUACUUACUUUGUUUUUUUUUUUAAAUGAAUCAUACCUCUGUACUUUUUAGAUAAUAAAAUGUUGGGCAGUUAAAAUUGUCCCUACUCUGUUGUGUUCAAAAUUUGUGACUUGUGGUUCCGUGCUCAACUUUUGCAUCUCAAUAAGCACUUUGUUUCAAGUAGAUGCCCCUUUUCUCUUUUGGAAACAGAGAGAGAAAGAGAGAGGGAGAAUCCUGGUGCUGUGUCCAUUGCUUCCCUCGUGGUUUUGCAUCAAUCCUUGUCGCCUAUAUGUAACUCAUGAUUCCUGUCCCUUUUGGAGGGUUCCUUCUUUGUAACAUGUUGCUGCUUUAUUGAAACCCUGUUAUCUCAAUCACCUUCCUUGUUCCUCUUUGCAACUCCCACUGCAAAACCCACCUCAAAUUUUUCCAGCGAAACCACUCAAUUGGAGCUUGUUUUGAUCAAAAGUUGGAGACUUGCGCUGAUGGGGCACUUCUCUGAGGUUCUAAAGGUAGUGCCUUUUUCUCUGUUUGAUUAAUUAGAUAGUAGCAAUUUGCUUCCCUGUGCUUCUUUGCAACUCCCUCAUCCAAACCCGUCUCCAAUUUUGAUUGGGAAAGAAGAAAUAUACCAUGAUGGGGCUUUUCUCUGAGGUUCUAAAGGUGGUAUCUUUUCUCUGUUGGAUUAGUUUGUAGAAAUUAGCUUCCUUGUUCUUUACAUCCACCCAAAAAAUAAAAAAGGUAAAUCUUUGUUCUUCUUCGCAACUUCCUCUUUCAAAAUCCGUUUGAGCUAAAUUUUGAUUAGAAAGUAGAAAUUUACUCUGAUGGGUCCGUUUUCGGAGGAAACAAAGGUGGUUCUUUCUCUCUGUUUGAUUCAGUAAAAGCAUUUUACUUCCUUGUUCUUCUUUUCAACUUCCACUUCAAACCCGUCUCAAUUUUUCCAUCAAUUUCGCGUACUUUGUCUAAUUUGGGUGAUAUUAAGUAGGAGAAAUUUACAUUUACAGGGCAGUUCUUUCUGGUUCUAAAUUUGGUGUCUUUUAGUAGCAAUUAGCUUCCUUGCUCUUGUUUGUAGCUUCCACUUCAAAAUCCCAUCUCAAAUUUUCCGUCGUCUCCGCUUAAUUUGAUCUAAUUUUGAUCGAGUAAUUUAGAGGUUUGGACUAAUGAGCCUGUUUCCUGCGGUACUAAAGGUGCUGUGUAUCCUCUGUUUGAUGAAAUGUGUGAGUGGGAUCGGCGCAAAUUGGGGGACGCAGGCGAGCCAUCCUUUACCGCCGGACAUCGUGGUUCAGAUGCUGAAGGAUAAUGGAUUUCAGAAAGUGAAGCUCUUCGAUGCAGAGGAUGAUAUUAUGGAUGCAUUAAGAAAGAGCGGGAUUCAGGUGAUGGUCGGAAUCCCGAACGAUUUGUUGGCAGGCCUCGCAUCAAGCGAGAAAACGGCGGAGAAUUGGGUCUCGACGAAUGUUUCUAAGCAUGUAGAUGGUGGAGUGGAUAUCAGGUUUGUCUCUCUCUAAUCCUUGGUAGUUUCUAUCUUUUUACUAUUUAGCAUCGUGUUCAUUUGUGCAGAGGACUGGUUGGUUCCAAUUUGAGUAAAUAGGUCGGGUUUCUGAAAUUAUGAAUUAGAUGGUAUUCAUAUUUUGCAUCGAUUUUUAAUCAUUCGACAUUAAAAAUUCUCUGAUAUUGUUUUUUUUCCCCCCCGUAACUACUAUCUUCUAUAGUUUGUAGGGGUAUUGGUAAAAUGUUCUGCUAAAGAACAACAAAUUUGUCAAUUUGAAGAGCUUUUGGUACCGUAGUUAUGUGUAUUUUGACGCCCUACCAUUUUUUACAAGUAUACGAUCAAUUGUCAAUUGAUGUAGUUUUGUACCUAUAACAUCGUGCAUAUUUCUGGUUGUAUGUUUCUUAGAAUUCUCAUCUAUCACUGCAAUUUAUUCCUAUUUAUUUCAAUUCAACGCACAUUGUGAGGCUAUUUGUUACAUUUCAUAGAACCUCUUUUGGUUGGUAUUUGUGUGCCCAUCAACUUGAAAUUAGAUUACACCGUCAAAAUCUAGUUCCAGUCCAAUAAUGGAUACUAGUAGGGGACCAUAUUAGUUCCCAGUCUCCUCCAUCUCACUCAUGAUUUUAAUGUGAUCGGUGUUGUCAAUUAUUGUAGCCAUAUAGCUCCAACGAAAUUUUUAUGUGAAAAUAUACAACAUUGGAAUGGAAGUACUAUUCAAGAUAUCUAAUAUCUAUAUGUCAAUUUAUGUGGUAUUUAUAGGGAUUUCCCUGCAUUCGCCUCAAUGAAAACAUAUCCUUUGUGAUGCUGAAGUUCUACAUGCGGCUACAAACUCAUGAGUUUGAAUGGCAGGAUUUAUAUGUAGUCUUGUGAUCUUUGUCAUGUAUAUCACAUGUAAUUGUCAUGUAAUUGUCAUGAUUCUCACUUUUACAGGUAUGUCGCCGUUGGGAAUGAGCCGUUCCUGCAGACAUUCAAUGGCAGCUACCUCCAAACGACAUUCCCGGCACUCCAAAACAUCCAAGCCGCGCUGAUCAAAGCCGGCCUAAGUAACCAAGUCAAGGUCACCGUCCCGCUCAACGCUGAUGUGUAUGAGUCGUCCAGCGGUCUCCCCUCUGACGGUGACUUUCGUUCCAACAUCCACGACCUCAUGCUUUCUAUAGUGAAGUUCCUUAAUGACAAUGCUGCCCCCUUCACCGUCAACAUCUACCCCUUCAUUUCCCUCUACGACGACCCCAACUUCCCCCUCGACUAUGCCUUUUUCCAAGGCGCCGCGUCGCCCGUCAUCGACGGCUCAAUUACGUACAACAACGUGUUCGAUGCGAAUCACGACACGCUGGUCGCCGCGCUCCGCAAGAAUGGGUUUGGCAAUCUCUCAAUCAUCAUUGGUGAGAUAGGGUGGCCGACGGACGGCGACAUGAAUGCGAAUUUACAAUACGCUCGGCAGUUCAACCAGGGUUUCAUGAAUCACAUCUCUUCGAACCAGGGCACGCCGUUACGGCCUGGACCUGUGGACGCCUACCUCUUUAGCUUGAUUGACGAAGACGAGAAAAGCAUCCAACCAGGGAACUUCGAGAGGCAUUGGGGGAUAUUCUACUACGACGGCAUGCCGAAGUAUCAGCUCUCUCUUGGAUCUACGAAUUCAACAUUGGUCGGUGCAAAGGGAGUGAAGUAUCAAGAUAAGAAGUGGUGUGUGUUCAAGCCAACAGCAAGCCUGGAUGACCCGAAGGUGGCACCUAGCGUGAGCUAUGCAUGUGGGAACGCCGACUGCACGAGUUUAGGAUACAAAACGUCGUGUGGCGAUCUCGAUGCGAGGGGGAACAUAUCAUACGCGUUCAAUAGCUACUUCCAGGAGAACGACCAGGACAGUCGUGCUUGCGACUUCUCGCAUUUAGCCACUGUUACCACUGAGGAUCCAUCGACGCCGACGUGUAAGUUUAUCAUCAUGAUCGACGCCGACUCGGCAGCAUCAUGGAGAUUGAGGCCGGUGGAAGGGGGAAGUGGUGUAGCGUACUUAGGAUUGAUCUCCUUUCUUACACUUUUGUUGGUGGCACUGUGAUGUAUAUGGUGGUAGUGUUUGAAAAUUUUUUCCCCCCAUCUUUUAUCCUGUUACAUUUUGGAAAUAGUUUGUAUUGUCUUAUUCUUUGUGAUCACAAUAAGGUUUCACAAUCUGGCAUCUCCUUUUGUAGAUGUAGUAAUUGACUCUGUGCAAUGUAUUGGAUGGAAUAUUCAGGAAGAAGAAAUAGACAGAAGAAAAGAAAAAGAGAACUACUCAUACAGGUCAGAGACUUGGAGAUGAGAUAAUCAGAGUGACAUCUUUAUUAAAUUAAAGAAAAAAAAAAGAGAGGUGAGAGAGAGCAAAAGAGAGAAACAAAUAAGGAAACAGAGAAAAGAAAAGCAGGCAUAACCUACACUGAAAAAUUUACGGGCAAUCUGUGGCUCAGAAUCUCUCAAAUCAAGCAAUUCAGUCAAUCUGUGAACUCCAUAUAUGUAAUUCUCUACUCAUUUGGUCCAUUCUAUAUGGAGUUUAAAUCUGUUAACACAUGAACUUGUAAUAUACCAGUGCGAAUAACUGGAAACAGAUCAUGCACACACAUAUAGAGAUAUGGCGAGUAGCAGAAUGUGAGGCUAAUAUCUGCAAAGAGAAAACCUACAAUGUCUAACGAAGAUGAAAAAGCUGUGAUGCAACUUUCUAUAACAGUCAUGCGGACGACACAUCCAACAACAAAGAAAAGCACCAAGGUAUAAAUCUAGAUGACAAGUAAGCUUCUAGAGAUUUUAAAAAAUAGACACACAUGACAAGAAAUUUUUCUCCUUCAACAUUUCAGUCGAUUAAUAGUAAUACGGUAAGUAAAUAAAUACACAGUAAACCCUACCCUUACUUUCUUCUCUCUCUCUCUCUCUCUCUCUCUCUCUCCCUCUGAACUUUUUUUCUCAGUCGGUGGUCAUUGGCUGGGAAAUGCAGCAGCGGAAGCGGGCUUUGCGAACAGUGCUGACGAUCUCCAUCUCGGCAUUUUCAAGCAUCCGGACAACCUCGGUGAAGGGGGGCCGGACAUCAGGGUUCGGGUCCCAGCAGCGUGUCAUGAUCUCGCCAAGGGCAGGGAGGCAAUCAUGUGGGAUGAUCGGGCGGGCGCCCUUGUUCACUACAGCGAAUGCAGCCUGGACAGCUGUCAUGUUUGCAAAUGGGAGCAUCCCGGUGAUGAGCUCCCACAGCACAAUGCCGAAGCUGUACACGUCAACUUUUUGAUUAUAUGGUCUGUGCUGGAUCAUCUCUCUGCAAAGUUAAAAUUAGUUGUUUAAGGACAGAUCCACCUAAAAGAAACGAAACACCUUUUGCUCGCAAUUAUAGAUUUUUUAAAAAAUUUCUUCCGGUCGGAUAGUCCGACCAAUAUUCUAGGACAUAUUAGAGAUAUCCAACUACUGUUAUUAAUCACCACACCAGGUAUAGAUUUCCAUAUACCUACAUUGUCCUUUUCCAAAUAGAUAUGUAGGACAAAGAAUAUAAAGUUUUCGUGAUAAGCAGAGAAAAAAAAAGUAUGCAAUAGGUAAUUUAAACAUGAAAACAUCAGCAUUCUUCAUACCUCGUAAGUAUACGCCAAUAUGAACGAAUCCAAUAGCACAUGCAUCAAACUUAUUAAGCCAAUAAAUAUAUUUCAUUUACAUGUGUCAAAAUGCUUGUCAUCAUGCAUAUACAAUGAAAGUUCUAUGUGUAUAACUUUCAUGCAUGUAAAUCUGCAUGCAAUAAAUCUUUGUGCAUGUGUUCCCUUAACGUGCAUAUAUUGCCAAUAUUCAGAUAAAGAUUCUUCAUAAAUCGCAUUGGCUGUUGAUUUAUCUUAGCUUCUUUUGCCAUUUAUACACCAUCACCACUUAAACAGCUACAUAUGUAGUAAGUGGAACAUACAAAUUGCAAGAAUUAAGGAAUGCCAUUGAAAUCAGAGGAGGAUUCAUUUUAGUUGUUUAAAACAACCAUGAGAAGAUCACAUGCAUCAGAGCGUUAACUCCUAGGCAGAAAAUAAACAUCCUAUUUUGCCGUCUCCUCUACAUUGGAAGAGAAAAAAGCAAUUCCAAGAGCCUAUUACGCAAAAGUUGUAGAAUGGCAACCAUGCUUCUCUUCUUUUGAAAAAAAAAAAUCUUUUGUUGGCUUUCUUCCUUCUUAAUUAAUUUAAACAUUUCAUCAUUUCCUUCUCAAUUAGGAUGCUCAAAGAGAGGUUACAGUUGCAUUGAAUAGUUCCUGCUCUCAAUUGCGGCCUCUCCAUGUCUAUCCAAUAUUGAUCAUAUGGUUUUGAAUAUAAAUUUCAAUUAAACAUAAUUUUCUUGUGGCCAGAGUUAUCGUUGGGUUGUACAAUCUGGAUGUCAUGUACAUUGAAUCAUGGAACAAUCACAUUCUCCUUCUCUUUCUAUAAUGGCAAGUAAUUUUUUUUUUUUCCUCAGAUUUCUUUAAUUUCAUAGUUUCAUUAUGUACUAUAAGAUCAUGACCAUUUUAGCUUGCAGUGUGUCUAGAUAUGGAAAUGCUGUGAGCUGUGAGCUGUGAGCUGUGAGCUGUGAGCUGUGAGCAUCAGGUGGUAACACUAUUGUAAUAACAACUUCUGUUUCCAAGACAGGCACAGAGGCCCAGUAACUCACGCUUCGCACUAAUGAUAGAAUGUAAUAUUCAUAUGCACAAGGAGUCAAGAGAAAUAGAUCUAAAGAGGUCAAUUCUGAAGUCAAUGGCAUUUACAGGAACAGCAAUAGUACCAAGGGCAGAGAUUCCAACUAUCAAAGCAUUACAAAAAUUUGAACAUUGACAUUACUCUAGCACAUGUGAAAUUGGGGAGGUAUUGUUAAAUAUAAAAAUAUAAAACACCGCUCUACAAGCUUAAGCUUUUAUUUAAUUUAGCGUUUGAGAAUAACGGUUGUUUCGUAUAAUUUAAUAUGGUAUCAGAGUAGGAAAUCCUAAGUUCCAAUCACGUCAAGCUCCUAACAUAAUUGAUUUCCACCAAUUUAAUUUAAGUCCACGUCAUAACCCUAUCAAAAAGUCUUAAGCCCAGACCUGAGGAGUGUUAAAUAUAAAAAUACCGUUCUCUACAAGCUUAAUCUUUUGAGAAUAACGGUUGUUUUGUAUUAUUUAAUAAAUACAAAUAGCUUUUCUACAUGUACUGAACAGCCUGAGCCCAUCCAGUGCAAUCAAAUGGAAAAUUAAUAGGUAAGAACGUCCAUCUGCGGAUAGAUACCAAGUGAAAAACCGGUAAAAAGAAAAUAACCAAAUGAAAUGUCGGUUGGCACAUACACAAUUAUUUCAUUUUUCAUGUGGAGUAUAUGCCAUCAGUCCAUGCAUAGAUCUCUCUAUUAACAUAUAGAACAUUAUUUAAGCUCACAAUUAAUAUGGUGAACUACUAGGAUGAAAGCAUUUUGAUUUGAUGGAUUCUGAACAAGCCAGGCUAAAUCUGAACUUUAUCUUGCAUGUUUACCAUUAAAAGUCAGUAUGUACUACAAGAUAGAUACAAAUCUAGGAAGUAUUAUUUAACAACUUGUAAAACAAGUAAACUAGAGAUCUCACUCUCAGUAAUGGAGACAAAUAAAAAGCAGCUGUGUAAAAGACUAGAAUAACGAAACGUAUUAUAGAAUAUACAUACAAAAGGCAUAUUGAUAAGGAAAAAUAUUAUCAUAAAGAAAUCUUCUUGAGACAAAGAUUACCAAAAACUUUCCACAAAUUAUUCCAGAUCAAUAUGGUCACAUUAUAUCAAAGUCAUAAAAUUUAAGAAGACAGGACAAAAAUAAGUUUUCAUACUUAAGUUCAUGAAUCUCUUCUAACAGGCCAUGCAUGUUACAAGCAGACCAAAGCUAAAACGUAUGAAUAUUUUGCUUAGGUCGUAUGAUAUCUUCAAUAAAGGUUUUCUUAAAGUUUGGACAACAUUGAAUAUGUUAGCACUAAAAUAGCAAGAAGUUCCACUUACGGAGCCAUCCAUCGGUACGUUCCUGUCUCUGGCGUCAUCCCCUCAGUCUGCACCUCGAUGCGAGCCACCCCAAAAUCCGCAAUCUUUAUGGACUUGUCCGCAAAGAUCAGAAGGUUGUCCGACUUAAGAUCCCUAUGGAUAAACCCAAGCCCAUGCACAUAGGCCAUUCCCCUUGCAACAUCCAAUGCUUGCUUCACUGCCAGCUUCAAAGGAACCGACCUGUUCUGCCUUUUCAUCAGAAACUGCCUAACCGACCCACCCUUUGCAUAUUCAGUCACAAUGCACCACACCAUAGGCUUCCUACAUGCCCCAAUAAACCUCACUAUGUUUGGGUGCUUCAAAGUAGCCAGCAUCAUGACUUCUUGCACAAACUGCUGCUCCAUCAGUUGAGCUCUCUCUGGAUCAUUCUCCGGCCUUUCCAACAGCUUAAUGGCAACAUCUUCUCCAUUAUAAGUUCCUUUAUAGAGUUUCCCGAAAGCCCCUUGAGCAAAUGGCCUACCCAUGUUUAAUUUCCCCAAAUCAAUGGUCCAGUUCUCGUAACUUUUCAAGGUCUCAGUAGGAUGUCUUGGGUCCAUCAAGGCCUGGGCUAGUGCAUCAUCAUUCAAUUCAUGAGCAACCCUACCGGGGCGGAACACGCUGUUCCCGACAGAAUAGUUGGCAGGUAGAACAGCACGGAGGCCCGGGUGGUUGAGGAUUCCCGUGUGGGAAUCACUAGACCCCACACUUUCUACAGACAUAGCGACCGAGCCGCCGCCAUGAUUGGUGGUCUGCAGGCUGCUAAUGCUGUCAAUCGACAUGUUUGAGCCCUCCCCAAGCUUUUGGUAGUAUGCCAUGUCUUUGAAGUUGGGGCCAUUUUCGAGCCCUAGUCCGCCGACCAUAAUACCGGGGAAUCUGGGGCCUUCCACCAUCCUCACAAAAUAAACGUAAAUAAUCAAAGAGAAAUCGCAAUCCUUAUCUCCCUCGAGAGCUAAGCAUCAAAGCUUCCACCUAGCUCAGUCCCAGAGCAAAAUAACCUGAAUUCAAAACCAUGUUUUGAUCAAUAAAUUGGAACAAAUUCAUAGGAAACAUUCAUAAUAUGAAAUGGCCCUCCCUAUACUACUAUAAAUCAUCAAAAAAAAGAGAGGAAAAAACAAAUAAUUCCACAUUUCUGAUCAAUUUCAGCUAAAAACCCCCCAAAAUACGAUUCCGAAACAAAAACCCCAAUUUACCUCUAAUCCCACCGCUUAGUCCUUCAGUAAACCAGCAAUAAGCUACACAGCUAAACCCCCAGUAGCCCAAAACCCCCAAAAUAACAACGGCAACAGCAAUUAAACCUAGAAAACAAGCAUCAAAACCUAGAAAUGCACCGAAUCGCCCUGAUCCGCGCAAAAGGAGCACCAAUUGUGGCGAUACCUGCCUCGAUCGUAAGCUGAACCUCCCCCGGAGCUUGAGAUCGCAAAUUCGGAGGCGGAGAUCGUAGCAACAAAGCAAAGAAACCCUAGUUCGGAACGGGGGAUAGAGCUCUCGCUCCCCCCCUUUUGGAGACUAGAGAGAGAGAGAGAGAGAGAGACGGUCACCAGUGGAGAGAGAAAGAGUACGAGUCGUUGCUGUGUUCGCUUCCCCCCUUUUUCCCCUCCUUUCUUUUUCCUAAUUAAUAGGUAAAAAUGCAUGGAGACCCCUCGUUUAUACGGGCCCUUGAAAUGGCCCUUUCCAUUUUUUUUCUUUUUAAUACUACAAAUAAAUUUUUAAAUUUUUUGAAAGUUUAAUCAUCUUACUCAAAUACAUAAAAAAAUUUGUGAAAACUCCAGAUAAUUUUACCGAAUUGAUAUUUUUUAUCAUUUUUCAGUAAAAAAAAAGAUCAAGCAAUUACUAAUAGAAUUUUUAUUGAAUUAAACAAACUAAAAUAUCUUGAUUUACUAUACGCUUUUACCUUGCCGUUUAAAAUGGGAGGUUCAGGAGGUUGUGUGCACACACCUCAUCCGCAAAAUACACGUUGGAGCGAGGGCAUUUUGGUCAUUUCAAGGGGCCGAAACGCGAAAACCGUGGGUGCGGGUAGUGCGCGGAUCUCACGAGGCGCAGCACCGUAUCUCGGGAUUCCACGUGGCACUUGUCCUCUCUCCCAUUUGUUGCGCUUUUUACGAUAAUAUCCAAACUUCUACCGAUUAAAAAUUAUAAAUUUUAUUUUUCUCAAACCAAUUUAACAUUUUUAUAAUAAAAUUUAAAGCUUAUAAUAUUUAUUUAUAUAUAUAUAUAUAUUUAAAUAUUAUUAGAUCAUAUUAAUUUAUAAUAUUUUAGAUACAUCUAGUGCAGUAAAUUAUAUAUUCUUGUUGGUUCAGAUUGGUUUUUGCUCUUUUUUUUUUUAAUUUGAUUAUUUUUCGCGUUAACUUCUCUUCUAUCUCUAGCCAUUGAGACAAACAACAGUAUCUUGGUGAUUCGGAAUUGAGUUCUAGGACAUUCAGGUCCACUAAAAAAAAAAAGAAGAAAAAAGAUUCAUACGGCUUGUUAUAUCAUAUAUUCUCUGCCAAUAAAUUACAGUUUGAACCAUAAAUUAUAAUGAUGAUUUCAAUUAUAAGUUAAUUUCAAGAUCUUUUUGCUAUACGAGGUGUGAUGAAUAACGAAAUUACUUUCGUACACGCAAAAAGAGAGUGUAAAUCUUACAUAAUCAUUUUAGAAUUAAUUUAAAUCACCAUCCCUAGCGCAAGUGGCAAAAGGAUUUGGUGGUUGGUAUCCGAGACCCAAUUUCGAAUCCUAAUUGAUUCACAUUUAAAGCUAAAUUUAUUUCUAAAUGAAAUAAACGAAGCAGGUAACAUGUUACAUUUCUCUAAAAAAAAAGAAUUAAUUUAAAAUUUAAAAUUGUUUUUGUAAAAAUAAAAAAAUUGAUAUAACAAGUAGAGUAUUAAUAGUUUUGGAAUAAAGUGAGUGUAAAAUAUACACUUCACUUUAUGAUGUAUUUGUAGCAUUGCUUGAUGAAUUAUUUUAUUUUUAUUUUUAAAAAAUAAAGCUAUCAAUGUUGAGAUUUGAAUGAUGCAAGGGACUGUGGGGGUCCAUUUGCAAUUAAGGGCCCUGAUUCGGUUCACUCGGGUUGCACCAAAAUCGUACGCUUCCGUAGUACUAUUGCAGCUGGGUGGAAUAUUAUUGCUUAGACCAUGUCCACUUUGUUACCUAUGAACUCUCCAUCUAAUUUCAUACUUUUUUUUUACCGUAAUAUUUACGAAGUGUUAUGUAGAGGUGGAGUAGUAUAUUUGCGAAAAUUUAAGUGGGUAUUUAUAAAAAGCUUUGAUGGAUUUGACAGUUAUAAAUUGAAAAAAAUAUCAAAUAAUAGAUCAUCAAUCAAAAUAGUAAAAUAGGUACUUGAUUACUAUUCUAUGUAUUUUGGACAAAAUUUAAUCAAAAAAAAUAUUCACAAUAAUAUUCAUCAUUAAAAAAGACAUACAUUAGAACGGCUAAAUCAUUACACGGUUCUAAUUCUGAGCCUAUAAUUUUAAUAUGCAAGGUGUGCAAUUUUGAUUCCACCGUCGGAUCCUAAUAUAAUUCUCAUUCCAAGGCCAAUCUCUUCUAACCAAAUAUGUCUUUUAGAAAAAAGAUUUAAAAAAAAAAAGAAAAAGAAAAAAUAAUGAGUAGAUCAUUGGCGGUCCAUAGCUAUAUUGGUGGACCAGGUCCACCCAACAAAUUCUUGUGACUGUCGCACUUUGGUGAGUGUGUGUAUGUACCACCUCUUUUCUGUGCCUGAUCAAGUGGCAAAGGACUUGGCGGUUGGUACCCGAGACCCAAGUUCGAAUUCUAGUUGAUUCACAUUUCUAGCUAAGUUUAUUUCUAAAUAAAAUAAACGAAACGGGUAAUGUGCUACCUCUCUCUCAAAAAAAAAAAAGAAAAAAAAAAAAAGUUUGUGUCACAAGGACAAGAAUCCACCGCUCUUAUUAAGCACCAAAAUUUUACCUUUUAAGCAAUUUAAAAAAGCCUUUAGUUGCUCAUUACUUCACAAAAAAUUGCACAAAAUUUGGCUUGGAGUAGCUACUAACAACAGCUGAAUCCAGGUGAAGAUUAAUAGAUAUUCCCACAUUCUUUUUUCCUAUCAAAUUUGGUACUGUACUCUCAAAUUUAAUGUUGAUUUUGUAGGUAAGUUUGAGAUAUUUCAUAUUUUUGUUUUUGCUCCCAAUAUAUGAGCUCUCAUUUUUUUUUUUUUCCAAUUCUGUGGAAAAACUUUUCUCAAACAGUUUUUCUUAAGUUUUUUGAUUACUCUCUCUCUCUCUCUCUCUCUCUCUCUCUCUCUUUCUGUAGGAAAAGGGAACAGGACACGUUGAUGUUAAUUUUUGAGCUAUUUCUUAAACCAUUAUAACAUAUUCUUUUUUUUCUUUUUUUUUUUAAAAAAAAUAGGUAGCACGCUAUCCGUCUCGUUUAUUUCAUUUAAAAAUAAAUUUAACUGAAAAUGUGAAUCAAUUAGGAUUCAAACUUAGAACCUUGGGUACCAAUCACCAAGCUUUUUGUCACUUGCUCUAGGGACGGCCAGUAAACCAUUAUUACGUAUUCUGAUAGAGAGAUAAGACCAAGUAAUUGCUUCUUACCUAGGUUUCUAAUUUUGGUAUUAUAUAUAUAUAUAUAUAUAUAUAUAUAUAGAAUUAGACUGGAAUACUAUUAAUAGUAUAACGCUCUUUUUGCUAUCAAGUUUUUAACCAUUGGAUAAAAAAUUAUAGGAUCAGGAUGAUAUUAGUCGGUUAAAGUUGAGUGAUCCCCCUAGGAUUGAGUGGUCCCCACUGGGUUAUAGUAUUUAAUCAAUGGUUAGAAAUAAUGAAAAGAUUUGAUCCAAAGGCUAAAAAACUGGUAGCAAAAAUAGGAUUUUGCUAUUAAUAGUAGUCCAGUCCAACUAUAUAUAUAUAUAUAUUUGGUAUAUUAUAAUAUGCUUUUCUAACCAGCCAAAAGAAGUAUCUUUUACAUUAAUUGUUAGAAUUGGCUACUUCCAUAUGGAAUUCAUGGUUGUACAUUUUAGACCUUUGAAAUCCAAAUAUUGCUGUAAACCUUUCCAAAAAUAUUUUUACAGAUAGAGGGACAUAAUUAAUUUCCAAGAGAAGUAUUUCCAAAUUAAUAGAAAAAAAAUAGGCCAUCUAACUCUUGCCUGCAAAUAGAAACAAAAUAAACAUCUAUCUCUCCACUAUAUCUUUAUAUUAUAUAUUCUGUAUCUCUUACCAUGAUGAAGCAUGUGCAUGCAUUUGAUCAACUAGUUUUCAUUAUAUGUUGAUUCCUCAACUAGUUUAAGGGACCUGAUUCAAAGAAAAAGUAGGACUCAACUGUAAUGUCUAGUUGCAGUUGAAGCAUCAUGCACAGUGGUAGAAUGGAAUGAAUCAGUGUUAUACUUUUCCAGUCACUCUUGAACUAGUUCUAGUUCCUGUUAGAAAUCCGCGACUAACGCAUGAAGCUCAAAAUCUGGUGGGUCGUCUGGACGGAGCGCAACAACACUAUCUUUUGUGAGGUGCUUCCCAAUACUACUCGGGCUCUUGAACGUGUCGCUUCUUUGACCAAUGUCUGGAACGGAGUCAUUUGACCCUUGCAUGUCCCUUCCUUCAUGCUCAGUCCCCACUUCUUCCUUUUCGUUAUCCACCCCACUUUUCUUGUAUACUUUGUCAAUCGGUAGAUGUAGGGUUCUUUAUUUUGGGUUUUCUUUCUUGUAUUUUUUUGGCUCUUUCAGGAGGCCCUAGCUGUCUUUAUCAUGUACGCUUAGUUCAUUUCGCUUAAUGAAUGAAGUAGGUAGCUUGCUAUCUAUUUCUCAAAAAACGCAUGAAGCUCAAAAUUAAUCUUAAGGUACAUAAAACAGUAUGGUAUAUGAUUCACAAGAAUAGUUUUACUUCUUUCUCUAACUUAUAUUAAUUCUAUGCAGCUUUGAUACCUUAUCCUGUAACCAACUUCAGGAAAGAAUACAAAUUCUCUAAUUCACAGAAUUAAGACGCCAUCGACGACACGACACUAGGUUUCCAUGUUGAUUGGAGGAUCAAUUCCUGAGAAAGCAAGUAAUUUUUAUCUUUAUCCAAUCCCCCCAUAUGUAGUAGUGCAUGGAAAGAAUAUUAUCAGAAUAUUACUAGCAUUGACAACCACUUACCAUAUGUUAUAAGGAGAUACGUUUUUCCAAGCCACUUGAAACCUUGAUCUUUUCAUUCAUUCAUUAAAAGCCGGUGAGGAUAAAUUAACAAUCACUUUUGCUCUUCUUAUUCUCAAUAUAAGAAGAAGGGAUAGAAUUAAGAAGUGGCUUAUCCUGGAUUAUGGCUACAAAGGAAGGAGAGACACAUCUUUCAAUAAUAGAACAAGCAGGGGUUGGGUUUCUUCUCUCUAAUGAGGGAGAGGUAAGAGAAUCACUUUAUUUUUUCUUCUUUUUUUUAAAACUAAUAUUUAGUUCUCUUUGUGAUUCUAAGCAUUGUUACAAGAAUAAGGCGAUUUACAUACAAGUUUUUACUCAAAAAACAAAAGUUUCGACGCGCCUUCCAUCAAUAUUCUCUAUUUUUCUAUCCAUAAGUUCAAUGAACUUGUUCCCAAUACUUCAUAUUUUUAUACGAAAUCAAAACUCAGAAAGUGUUCUAAUAAGUGUUUUAUUUUAAUGUACAAAGAUAUACUAAGAGAAGUUUUAGUCGCAUUAAUUCGUUCGUGGCCAUGAAAGUAGGUUCCUUUAUCAUGCAUCGAAGGGAAGACCACAUGCCUCUUCUUCUCAGCUAACUGGUGCAGGCCCUGCCGAAACUUCACUCCGCGAUUAAUCCAACUCUACACUGCCCUCAAAAACACAGAAAAGGAUGUACAAAUCGUCUUUGUCUCCCUCGACCGCGACGAAAAUAGCUUCUUGGAUCACUUUAAGCACAUGCCAUGGCUCGCUGUGCCAUUUAACGUCGACAUAAGGAGACGGUUGCGCGCAACUUUUAAGAUCGACCGUAUCCCUUCAUUGACUCCUUUCGCGCCAAAUGGUAUGUUGAUUGAAGAAGAUGCAGUUAAGUUGGUUGAGGACUACGGAAUUGAUGCAUUUCCCUUUGAUGCUAAGAGGAGAGAGCAGUUGCGGGCUAUCGAUGAGGCGAAGCGACAAGGAGGGAAAAUAGAAGAGCUUCUUGGGUGCAAAGAGAGAGACUAUGCUAUCUCCAAAGAUGGAAAAAAGGUGAGACAACUGAUCUAUCUAUAUAUAAAAGCUCUUUGCUACAAGUUUUUGUGCUAUGUCAUGAAGAGAGAAUUUAGCUAUGUGUGGCUUAUCUAUGCUAAACUCAAUCUUUUCCUUCGCAAUAUUCCUAGGUUCCGAUAGUCGAGCUCGCCGGGAAAACAAUAGGCCUCUAUUUUGGAGCACAAUGGUGCCCGCCAUGCCGCGCCUUCACGACAACGCUUGUAGAGGCGUACAACGAGCUAAGGAUCUCAAAAAGCGGAGGCUUCGAGAUUGUGCUUAUUUCAAUGGAUCGCGACGAAGAAGAAUUCAAAUCGAGUCUCGAGAAAGUGCCAUGGAUUUCAAUUCCUUAUCACGAUAAAACUCGGCAUGACCUUUGUAGGAUCUUCAACAUAAAGGGAAUUCCGGCCCUCGUGAUCCUCGGGCCAGACGGUAAGACUCUAAGGACCGACGGGCGAGCCAUAAUUUCAAAUUUUGGCGCGACGGCUUUUCCUUUCACAGAAGCAAAAGUUGCUGAGGCAGAGGAAGCACUUAAGAAGGAAGGAGAGAAGCUGCCACACCAAGUGAAGGAUCCUAGACAUGAGCAUGUGCUUAAGUUGGAUAUUGCUAGAUGUUAUGUUUGUGAUUCAUGUAAGAAGCAAGGGAGGUAUUGGGUGUUCUCCUGCGCCCGGUGCGACUUCGAUCUUCAUCCCUCGUGCAUCGAAGAGAAUCAGAAACAAUGAGUUAUUCUAAGAACAGUAACAAAGAAAGCUAUAUAUGCAUGUAGUUAUUUAGUACCAUUUUGGUUUUUGUCUGUUUUCACCUUAGUUACACACAGUAUGGUAAAUGAUCACAGCUUGAUACACACUCCGCAGUUACUGCUUAUUGUCUGUAAGAUGUUUUCUAUGCUCUCUAUCCAUCAGUUUUUUAUGGCAAUGUUUAUGACUUUAUGCUCUGUAUUUUGUUUGGCAAGUUACAGGGUCAGAUUUGCGUUUAGGGUUCUUCUAGCUAGGCUUCUGGGCAUCGUUGUUGUUACGACAAGCGCACAAACGAAAACGAAAGUAGCGAACACAAAAUAAACAAACCACAAGCAAAAAUAAAAAGAACACACAGAUUUCGUGGAAAAUUCUUUGCAGAAAAAAAAUCACUAGCGAGGGAGGAGAGAAUUUCACUGUCGAAGAGGGAAUACAAUGUUCGAAGUACAACCAACCACGAUCUGUCGCUUCUAGGGCAAAAACGAGAAAGAAAACUCUUAACGAAUUUUGGAUCCGAUCCGAUCCGUACCGCGGGGGUGGAGCCCCCCACACUUCCUAGCGAAUGUCAGCGAUGAGCUAUGGGCUCGGGCCGAGAGGCUCGAGCCCUCUACUACCCAUCACAGACAUUCAUUNCCAACCACGAUCUGUCGCUUCUAGGGCAAAAACGAGAAAGAAAACUCUUAACGAAUUUUGGAUCCGAUCCGAUCCGUACCGCGGGGGUGGAGCCCACCACACUUCCUAACGACCGUCAACGAUAUGCCAUGGGUUGGGGACGAGAGGCCCGAGCCCUCCACUACCCAUCACAGACAUUCAUUUUUCCUUCACAAACUUAUUUUCAAAUAUUGCGCCGCGAAACUGUCUGCGAGUCGAAGUUUCGUACUGACGUCAAUUAUCAAUUUCGAGUCACAUCUAACAGUUGCGAUUGCAGCUGCAGUGGUACCGGUCGCAAUCGCAAAAUAUAGCUGAAGAUAAGUUUUCACUGUCUCACUACACAGUAGCAGAGGCUCAGCAACACAAGCCAGGCCAAACAGACCCUUAGUAUAGAAAAUGAAACGUCCAAGUCAAAUCGAAAUCAAGGGGUCAAAUUUAAAAACGGAAAAAAAAAAUCUAGUUUUUUUUUUUUUUUUUUCCUAUUUUAUCUGACAUAGAGUUGUGAUUAUUGAUUUAGUCAACAAGAGUCCAACUGUAAACUAGAUUUUAUUGAGCUGGUCAAGUUGUUGAAGAGCCUCUAAGUUUAGAGCCACGAAUUGGACACAGCCGAAGUAUCUCCUUGGGUUUUACCAAAAUAAGCAAAUUUGAAGUGCUAAAAAAAAAAAAACAAACGCGCAUGUCUCAAUUAUACCAACUCUUACACACCCCUCCGAACUCAAUGCGUAGCCUCAUAAAAAUGGUUAAAGCAUCUCCCUGUAGGUUCCCUCUCAAAAAAACUGCUUCAAAAACUGCUCCUCCUUGGCCCCCCUGAGAGAGAGAGAGAGAGAGAGAGAGAGAGAGAGAGGAAGUGGUGCUUUUUUGAGUGUGUAAUAAGAUUGUUUAUGAUCGCGUCGACAUCGUGCUGAAGAAGAGAAGAGAGGAUCAAGAGAAUGAGCCAGAGAGAUUACAGUGAGGGCGCGGCGUUCCCGUUAGUUGCGGUUGCCAUUGACAAGGACAAAGGGAGCCAAAAUGCAUUGAAGUGGGCUCUAGACAACAUCAUCUCUAGAGGCCAAACCAUUACCCUCAUCCAUGUUAAUACCGGCAAGACACCUUCUUGUAAGUCUCUGUCUCUCUCCCCCUUUCUCACAUUUCACAUAUAAGACGCGCAGGCAAGCACAUAAAUCUACGGCACAAACAGAUAAAACAGCAAAAAUGGCGAAAAGAACACAAGUUGUGGGGGUCAGGGAAAAAUCCAAUCUAAUAACAAGCAAGGUGGCAAUACUGAGUUAACUGAUUACAGCAAUUUCGGUUAUGGAUGCUUAUAUUUUCGCACCGUGUAGAUUAAAGUAAAUAGUAGUACAAGACAAUCUAAAAUGGCAACCCAGGAACCGCCAUGAGCACAUACAAGUAUUUGAAAAAAUAGCAAAUAUUUUAUACAAACACAAUUGCUAACUACGCCUUUUUUUGCUUACGAUGUGAUACAGCGGGGCUUCAAGAGGAUUCUGCAAAUGGCGCGAGGGACAUAUUCAUUCCCUUCAGAAUUUUCUGCAAAAGAAAAGAUGUGAGUUACCCUCUGCUAAAAUUUCUUCACCGCAAGCAUCAAAGUUUGUAAAAUUUAACCUUAUUCUUCAAUAUUUUCUCUUACUAGUAUCUCGUAAAGAUGUGUAAAAAGAGAAAUUGCAUUACGCGUUAAUCAGAAACAUAUACUUAAACCAAAAAUAGAAAUAAUCUUUUCGACAAAACUGAACAUAUACAUGGAUGAAGAUAGGCAUAUUUCGGCAAAAGAACAAUGCUGUUGUAGAUUCUGAGCUUGUGACCUUUCUCUUACCAGCACUUUAUCAUUAUUGGCAUUUCAAUGGUCUUCAUAAAUCACCAGAUUCUCCUUCAUUGUUAGCUUUAUAUGUUACAGCAGGCUUUUGCUAAAAUUUCCCUGUUUGAUUUCAAAAGCACGUAAAAACAAAGGUUCUCCCUUCAUCUUCUUAAAGCUGCAAUCUGGAUUCAAAAAAUACUGUUAUUAUCAAAUGGAAGCAACCGGGAAUCCAAUAUGCUCACCUCAGAUCAAAUACAGAGAAAACAAGAUGAAAACUUAUUAACUUGGCCUAAUUCAAAUGCAAUAAUGUCAUUUAGAAGUUACUGAGCAUAGAAAGAUAAUUCAUAGACGCUACAAAAACCAUCGCAACAACCAACUUUGCAUAUUCUUCGGCAGGUACACUGCAAAGACAUAAUACUGGAUGAAACUGAUGUAGCAAAGGCAGUUAUAGAAUUCAUCUCACAUGCUGCAAUCGAAAAGCUCGCCGUUGGGGCGCCAUCAAGAGGUUUUGUCAGGUAAAAGUUUACGAUUCAGAACAAUUUACCUCAUAAAAUCUCUUAAAGGCACCGCCUAAAAAUUUUUUAUUCAUCAUUUUUCUUGUCUCAAAGAUUUAAAGGCACAGAUGUAUCAACCAGUAUUUCAAGAAAUGCACCCGAUUUUUGCACCGUCUAUGUAAUCUCGAAAGGUAAGGUGUCUUCCCAGCGGAAUGCAGUUCGAGCCGCACCAGCUGUGUCGCCGCUCCGUGCUCAAAUCCAAAACCAAUCAAGUAUCAAACCCGACUUAGUAAACCAACAAAGUUUAAAUGCAACGAAAGGUUUGUUUCUUUAUAGUUGCACUUGGCUUUGAAUGGAAAAAAGGCCCUUCUUUUAUUUCUAAUCAAUCUGAUUGUGAAAUUUUCUAUUACCAGCUGAGGCAGCAUGGGAGACUCGGAAUCCGUACACUGAGAAGGAUUCGAUCAGGUAUUUUCUUUUAUUAUUUUUUUGACUAAAGAAGCAAGAAAUUCUUUCAUAAAAAAAAACAUUUUUCAUAUUGCACCUAUUGUCCCGUAUCACCUAACUGAGCACUAAUAAAGGCUAACCAAGCAGUGAAAUCUUGUAGUCUAAUGGAGUAAUAUAUGAGUUUCAAUAUUUCAGGAGUGGAAAUUGAAAAUGAUGAUACUUGUUGGUUCCUGCUACUUAUUUUUUCACAUAAAAAGGAUGAUAUAAUAUUGCAAGAAAUAACAAGUUAUCUCUCCCCAAUACCAAAUUACAAGAUAGAUAUAUACAUGGAACAGGUCACCUUUCGGCAGGGGAGGACGCUACCCGGCAUCAAGAAUGAGCGGCGAGAUGAUGCCAGAAAGCGACAUAUCAUUUGUGAGUAACGGAAGGCCGAGUACAGAUCGUGGCUUUAAUGCAAGGUUAUCAAAUAUGUCGGACAGUUUUGAUCGGAGCUUCGAGAUGAUGCAGUCACCGCAAAACAACAUAAUGAACGAAUUCUCUUCAGCUUCUUUUGAGAGCUCUUCAUCCCAUGGUGUGACGGUAAUGCACAUACACCACACCCUAUGAAAACAAAGUUUAAAAUAAGCUCAUGUUCUGCGAAGAAACUAAAGAGAUAUUUACACAGAUACACACACAUAAAUACACACACACACAUUUAUAUAUAUUCCUGCAUUUUGAAGGAAUAUAAGUGUUUGUGCAUGCAAAACUCCGGCAAAAGACAGAUGUAACUGAUCAUUAUAAAGUAUUAUUAAUCUAACUGAUCAUUAUAAAGUAUUAUUAAUCAAAUAAAUUGCCGUAACUCGUUGCAAUAAAAAAGAAGUAUACCAUUCUUAGUCAUUGUAACAUUGACAAGGCUUUCUCUGAACAUGCAGGAAGAUAUAGAAGCCGAGAUGAAGAGGCUGCGGCUAGAACUUAAGCAAACUAUGGAUAUGUACAGUACAGCCUGCAGAGAAGCACUUGUGGCUAAACAAAAGGUAAGAGUAUCGCUUUACCACAUAUAUUGUGAUACUACAUACAUUGUGGAAGUUCCACAUUAUAUCUGGAAAUACUUUAACAUGUUAGUAUAUAUGGAUAUUUUUAAGGAUAAAUACUCCAUCACAUAUUCUAAACAAUAAUCUCAGAUUUGGUAGCUGAAUCAGAGAAUAUCAUUCAACUCUUUUUUGCCCCUACUUUUGCUGUAUCAUCAGUCUAGAAAUAUUCAAUAGCUAGACUUUUCAAAUAAAGGAAAAAAACGAAAGAGGACUUCUUACUGAGAAUGAAACUACAUUGCAGGCAAUGGAGCUCCACCGGUGGAAGCUGGAGGAAGCACACCGGCUGGGAGAAGCUCGGCUGGCGGAAGAAGCAGCUUUGGCGUUAGCUGAGAAAGAGAGGACAAAGUGCAUGGCGGCACUGGAAGCAGCCGAAGCCUCGAAGAGGAUCGCAGAGUUAGAAGCACAAAAACGAAUCAAUGCAGAGAAAAAAGCACUUCAAGAAUCCGAAGAGAAGAAGAAGGCGCUCUCUGCUUUGGCACAGACGGAUGCGAGGUACAGGAAGUACUCUAUAGUAGAGAUAGAAGCAGCAACAGAUUACUUUGCGGAUAGCCGUAAAAUCGGAGAAGGGGGAUAUGGGCCAGUGUAUAAAUGUUAUCUGGAUCACACACCAGUUGCAAUUAAGGUUCUCCGUCCAGAUGCAGCUCAAGGGAGAGAACAAUUUCAGCAAGAGGUAUAACUUAUAAGAAUCUCGAGAGCUACUUAAAUACACUGCAGAUACAUAAUUAUGCAAACAGAUUAUGUAACAAAUGGACUGUAUAAAAUGCAGAGCUGGCAAAUCCAAAGGUACUCAAAUAAAAUAAUGCAAUUUUUGCAUAAACAAAUCCAUUUGUUUGAAUUUGCUAAAUAACACUCUUUGUUUUUGUGCAUAUUUUUAAACAAUCAAUGCGCAAUUUUCAACUAAGGUCGCAAACUUUAUUCCUAAAAGUUUCAAAGUCGGCUAAAUUUGCAACAAUGACAAGUGUCACAUUUAUUUUUCGAAAAAUGAAAAAUAACAGUUUCUUUUGUGCAAAAUAACUAGAAUGGACAACUGAUGCAGUAAUGGCUUUAUGCUAACAUGUAAAAAAUCAUGCAAAUACACAGGUUGAAAUAUUAAGCUGCAUCAGGCACCCAAAUAUGGUUCUCCUUCUGGGUGCAUGCCCAGAAUACGGUUGCCUUGUCUACGAAUACAUGGCUAAUGGAAGCUUAGAAGACCGUCUGUUCCGCCGCGGGAACACACCACCCAUACCUUGGCAGCACAGGUUCCGCAUAAGCGCAGAGAUCGGCACAGGCCUCCUCUUCCUGCACCAAACAAAGCCCGAACCAUUAGUCCACCGUGACCUCAAGCCCGCGAACAUCCUCCUGGACAGAAACUACGUCAGCAAGAUCAGCGACGUGGGCCUGGCACGCCUCGUCCCUCCAUCAGUUGCAAACAAUGUAACACAAUAUAGAAUGACCUCAACAGCCGGAACAUUCUGUUAUAUUGAUCCUGAAUACCAGCAAACUGGAAUGCUUGGUAUAAAGUCGGAUAUAUAUUCUCUCGGAAUUCUUUUGCUUCAGCUGAUUACAGCGAAACCACCAAUGGGGUUGACACACUAUGUGGAAAGGGCGAUCGAGAAGGGAACAUUUAGGGAAAUGUUGGAUCCAACAGUGGCAGACUGGCCGGUGGAGGAUGCCUGCCGGUUAGCGGAGGUGGCACUGAAGUGUGCUGAAUUGAGAAGGAAAGACCGGCCAGAUUUGGGGACGGUGGUUCUGCCUGAGCUUAAUAGAUUGAGAGCACUCGGAGAGGAGAAUCUGCAGUUUUGUGUCAUGGGGAGUAGCUCAACUGCAACGUCCUUUAGUGGGCAGUUUUCCAUGCCGGUAAGUUUGAUAGAUUUGCACUAGAGGCAAUAACAAAGCAUAAAAAAAAAAAUUGUAAAUACACGAGUAACACUGCAGAUAUAUCAAAAUAUACCAAAAUGUAGUUGAAGAGCUGACUUUCUACACGUGGGAGUCAGCGAGUGGUUUAACUUUUCAGACUUGAUGUCCACGCUAAGCAUCAUGACUGAAAUUUUAAAAUCCGAAGCCUAACUAGCUGCCACGGUUGAGAAGUGGGCUCGUCAACUAUACUUUUGAGUAAUUUUAUGGGAUAUCCAGUUUCUUUUAUGAUUUUAUGCAAAGAAAAAUUGAAAGAUCUGAUACUUCAGUAUGUCUUCAGGAAGGGAAAAUCCUCUUCUAUUGAAACAUAAGUUGCUAGUUAAACAUCAAAUAACACUCAUACCCCAAAAUAUACUGUUAAACUACAUCGACAAUACAUAAGUUUUGGACGGUUCCAUAGGAUUUCCCAAUUCUGGACACUGCUGUGGCAGCUCUUCAGAUAAAUAAUCAGCACUUACGCUUGAUAGCUUCAUACUAUCUAAAAUUAUGGCAAUAGUAGUAUGGAACAACAUAUAAGAGAUCACUAGUGUCGGCACUGAAUCUUCUUAAUCAAUCUCUUACAGUACAUUGUAUUAUUCUUUAUAGAGAGGUAUAAAGAAUGAGCGACAUAUCGUAUUUAGUAAUUACUGAACAGUGAAUAUAAGGCAAGCAAGAGUAAUAUGUGCUACAUUCUACUUUUCUAUUUCAGGAUUUUAUGACUGACGCUAAUCCGACACAAUCUGGAUAUGAAAGCUCCAGAAGCCGAUCAAGUGCAUACUAUUCCUGACGGAUUGGGAGCAAAACCAAUUCAUGGUAUACGUUUUAUAUCCCAACUGUACCAAACUUUGCUAAUGCUUUGAGGUUGACAUAAUUUGCGGAAAGUAUUUUUAUUAAUAGCGGCUAUUUCAGGCAGCUUUGUUACCACAUCGGAAAAGAGAAUUCUACCUUAAAUCUGCUUUUCACGGCCGAAUAGAUGUGCUUCUCAGCUGUUGGUUCUUUUCGUAGAGGCAAUAUUGGCUUAAGCAUGCGGAGGAGGAACAAAACUACCGAACUUCUGAAGCAAUAAAACGGCGAAGAAAGUUUAAUACGACUAUAUUUUUUAUUGAUUGGACUAAAGCUUACAUGAAAAGCAGUUGUAUAUCACAAUUACACCAAAAGCUAUAGGCAAAGAAGUUCUUUCUGUACAAACAAAUUCUAAUUUAAAUCGGUUGUAAACAAUGACAAUAUCUCUCUCUUUAAAUGAAUUAUGAGAUUGACAGGUUAUAUAAAAUAUAUGGUAAGAGAUGUAUAACUCACUAGAACACACUAAGAAGGCAAGUUGCAUCCCUACAAAUACAAAUAACUUGGCACAAUACUACAAGAGUUUGUACUAAAUUGCAUUUACAAGCAAUCCUCUCAUAAUUCUAUGGCAUAUUUCAUCAAACACCUUGUGUGCAAGAAUAGCUAAAGAAACAACAACACACUGGAUAAGACGACCUCAGCAGGGUACUAUUGGAUGCUUUUAAACUCAAAUAAUCAAUAAAUAUAUUAGUAUUUUGACAAUCAAAUAUGCUAUUUCAUAGUUGAAAGUAAACUGCAUCAUUUACUGCCACUUUACUUCCGAUAAUAGGGCAUCGAAAUUGGCGAUCGGUAUCGUUAAAUACGAUUUACAGUAUUUGAACUUUACUAGAUAAAUAAUAUUAUAAAAUCACCGAAUUCAAUUUUUAGAAAGUUCAAAAUAAUCUAAAUUUAUUUAACAGUACCUACCAUCAAUUCGAAUGCCUGAUUACCGAAAAUGAGGAGAAAGUAAAUAUAAUGUUUACUUUGGAAAAAAAAAAAAAGAAGAGUAUUCUAACUUUACACCUACAUAAAUGCACAUGGUAAAACCACAAUACACAUUUUAUUUUAUUUUAAUAUUAUUUGGUGCUAAAUAUUACCUUAGUCCCUUCCAUUGGCUGUGAAAAGACGAUCCUGGUUAUUUUUGUUUUUGUCCUAUGAUUAGCCCAAUCUAUUUCUUAAUGCAAAAAGAAAAAGAAAAAAAAAAAACCAAGCAACUAUGAUUACGGGUUCGAGUAUGAACCCGAUAACCGUAGCCGAAUCCGACACCCUCGACCCGCCGCGUAUAAAAAAAAAAAAAAAANUCUCCUCCCUUCGAUCGGUGUGUUACGCUGUUAUAGGACUCUUUCACCGCUCCUUGCUCCCUCCGCAAGUAAACCCUUCUCUCGCUCUCUUUCUCUCUCUCCUCCCCCUUCUUUCUCUCUCUUUCUCUCUCUCUCUCCUCGUUGUCCCAACGACAGAGGCGGCGCCGCCACCGCACGGGCACCGGAGGAAGGCCGAGAUGGCGGUGGUGAGCUCCGCGAGCGGGCUCCUCGCGAUGCUCCACGAGCCGCACCCAGAGCUCAAGCUCCACGCGCUCGCCAACCUCAACUCCCACGUCCACCUCUUCUGGCCCGAGAUCUCCACCAGCGUGCCCACCAUGUGAGCAUCCACGCUAACCCUAACCUAACCCUAGCGCCGUUCCCGAUCCCGAUCUGUUGUCGAGGAAAAAUUUUAGUCCUUGUACUGUUUUUGAUCGUAUUUAGGUUUGGAUUAAGUUUUUUUUCUGUUGAAAUAACGGGAAAAUGUGUGAUUUUGUUAUGAAUUUUGUUGUCUUCGUUUGAGGGAUUGGAGUUCGUUAGGCGAAACUUUUUUGUCUGCUUAUUGAUUUGAGAUGUAGGGAAAGGAAAAGUUGUGAUCUUGUAAAGUUGUUUUCUUUCUCUAGUGUUAAAAAAACUGCUGGAAAAAACUGAAAUUUCUUACUUACUAGUAAGGAAUUGGUCGAAGUUUACUAACCAAAACCCAAAUUUGCUUUGUGAUUUAGCAAAAUGGUGAAGGCGAUUUCAGUUGCAUAGUAUAGGUCUUUUUAACCUCUGUUAUUUGUGUUUGCAUUUGGUUUCUUUUCCUUUUGCUGGUUUUAGUGGAAAAAUUGCUCAUUUACGAUGAUUCAUGUUAUAUAUUUAUGAAUUGGUUGAAACUAUUGUCCUUUCUACGACUCAUUUGUUGCUUUGUAUUGCCAGAGAGAGUUUGUAUGAAGAUGAGGAAUUUAAUCAACGGCAACUUGCUGCAUUGGUUGUUUCUAAGGUAACAUUAUUUAGUUUUUCCUCUAAUGGCAUGGAAUUUUGUUCAUAUAUAAUUUUUUUUCUUUGGGAGUCAUUAGAUUUCACAGCUGUCAUUUCUCUAUGCAGGUCUUUUACUACCUCGGUGAACUUAAUGACUCAUUGUCAUAUGCGCUCGGUGCUGGACCGCUGUUUGACGUGUCCGAGGAUUCUGAUUAUGCUCAUACACUUCUAGGUUGAAAUCUACUUCAAUUAUAAUGAUCUUGUAGUAUCUUCUAUGUGUGGGUUUGGUCUAAUGUGACAUUUUCUGCUUUCUGUAGCUAAAGCUCUAGAUGAAUAUGCUAGCCUCAAGUUGAAUCCUUCAAAAUCUGCUGAUGAAGAAGCAAAAGUGGAUCCCAGAUUAGAGGCUAUUGUGGAAAGAAUGCUGGACAAGUACGUCAUUUUCCUGUGCUUGUUCAACUCUCUCUCAUGCAUCAGCUACCCCAUGGAUCUAUUCCAAAUUUAUAAAUCAUCCCCAUAUUGUUUGUGACAGGUGUAUUUUGGAUGGAAAAUAUCAGCAAGCCAUGGGAAUGGCUGUUGAAUGCAGGAGAUUGGAUAAGUUGGAGGAAGCGAUCACUCGCAGUGAUAACCUUCAUGGUGCUCUUUCAUAUUGCAUUAAUCUUUCCCAUCAGUUUGUUAACCAUCGAGAAUACCGUUGUGAGGUAGGUUCUUGGUGAUGAUAAUGCUCCGCUCUUCAAGUUUGUAUGUAUGCAUUGCAAUUUUAGCUGCUAUGGGUGCUUUGAAAGUACAUACAUAUUAUCUCUAAGCUUUUCACUGGUUUGAACUAGCAUUUUAGAAAAAUUCCUGUUUCUCUUGAUCACAAUCAUUUCUUUAAGAAGCUUUAGGGAAAAUCUACUUUGUCUUAACAGAUCAUUUGUUAUUUAGCUGUAUGGUUCUUUUUAGGAUACAACCAGAUAAGCCUAUUGCUUUGUAUGGAAGACAAAGUCUUAUAAAACUGUUUAAGAGUAUGCUUAAAUUAAUGAUAAUAGGUCCCGUUAAAUUUAAUUUUUAAGAAAAUGUAGUCUACUUAUAUGCAUGUAGAUGUAUGCGGUAAUCAAGAUUUAGUCCUGUACACUACACGAACAUUGAACAUUGUUGGCACUGAAAUGACAUGAAGAAUGGGUUUGUGCAACUUGUUGUGCUCCUUGUGCAGGUGUUUGAUUUUUGGCUUCUAUGUAUCCACAUAUAGUUUUAAUGCCCUUGUUCUUCUGCUUCCUCUGGUUACAGGUUCUUCGCCUUCUUGUUAAAAUAUAUCAAAGAUUGCCUUCUCCCGAUUACUUGAGUAUUUGCCAGUGUCUUAUGUUUUUAAAUGAUCCCGAGGCUGUUGCAAACAUUUUGGAGAAGCUUCUCUCUGGAACCAAGGUAUUUCAUUUUUAGCUUUUCUGUCCUCUGCAUUAUAAAGGACUAACAUAUUGUGGUUCUAUGCUUUUUCAGGAUGAUGCUCUCUUAGCAUUUCAGAUUGCUUUUGAUCUUGUAGAAAAUGAAAAUCAAGCCUUUCUCCUAAACGUCAGGAAUCGUCUCCCAACUUUGAGGCCUCAAUCUCCUAGCCAAGGAAACCCUAGUCCUGAAUCCACUCUACCUAGUUCCCAAAAUGGUACUGUAGGUGCGGACAGCUCGGUUGCUGCUGAAGAUGUCCAUAUGAAUGUGGAUUCUCAAACUCCGAAUGGGAAUGCUCGCGUUGUGGAUCCAAAUGAAGUCGCAUAUGCAGAUAGGCUUGCGAAAAUCAAAGGAAUAUUGUCGGGAGAGAUGUCAAUUCAGCUGACUUUACAAUUUUUAUAUAGCCACAAUAGGUGAACAUCCCCAUUCUUCCCCAAGUAUUUUGAUAUUUGCCAUUACCUUGAAUUUUGUUAAACUGGAAUUUGUCAGUGACUGGUGUGAUUGUUCUUCUUAACAGGUCAGAUCUUUUGAUUUUGAAGACGAUUAAACAAUCAGUGGAAAUGAGAAACAGUGUUUGCCACAGUGCAACUAUAUGUGCAAACGCAAUAAUGCAUGCUGGAACAACAGUAGACACCUUCCUUAGGGAAAACCUGGUACCAUUAUGUCUUAAUUUUUCUUUAUGAUAAUGUCGUGCAAUAAUAUCUCUGGAUUUUCACAUUAUCUACUCCAUGGCAGGAAUGGUUGAGCAGAGCAACAAAUUGGGCAAAGUUUAGUGCUACUGCUGGAUUAGGCGUAAUUCACAGAGGCCACCUUCAACAAGGCAGGUCCUUGAUGGCACCAUACCUGCCUCAGAAUGGUGCUGUUGGUGGUGGCAGUCCAUACUCAGAAGGUGGGGCCCUUUAUGCCCUAGGUUUAAUUCAUGCCAACCAUGGCGAGGGCAUCAAACAAUUCCUCCGUGAAAGCCUUCGCAAUACUAGUGCAGAGGUGCUCUUUUCCCCUCGAUUGCUUCCCUUAACUGUUAUGGUUUUUUUAGAUAGUAUGGCUGAAUUGUUGAAACCCUUUGUGAAUAUCAUGAUUGUCAUUUUGCUGCCCUUUGAAUGUUAGAACCCAUAUAUUGCCCCUCUUGGGGUACUGGUUUGGUGGUUUUCCAUGACUUUGCCCUCUUCUUUCCGUGCUCCUCAGGCGAUAUUUGUUACCUUGGAUGGCGGGGAAAAAUGCAGGUUUUAAUGUUUCAAGGGGGCAAUGGGAAAAUCGCUAUUUUUGUUAGGGUUUUUCCUACAGUUUAGCCAAACUGAUGCACCAAAGCUUAUACUGUAACUUUGAACUGGGCCAUACAGGUUAUUCAGCAUGGAGCUUGCUUGGGUUUAGGGCUCGCAGCUCUUGGAACAGCAGAUGAGGAGAUAUAUGAUGAUAUAAAGAACGUGCUUUAUACAGAUAGUGCUGUGGCUGGUGAAGCAGCUGGUAUUAGCAUGGGUUUGCUUAUGGUUGGGACUGCUAGUGAGAAAGCAAGCGAGAUGCUUGCCUAUGCACAUGAGACACAGCAUGAGAAAAUUAUUAGGUAAUUUUGGUUUCUGCUAAUUGAUGCCAUCAUGCUCAGCAGUAAUAUGUUUGCUUUUGGAGUUUGAUUUGUUUUUGCUAAUUAAUGGUUGUUUAUCCAAAAAUUUCUAUUCCUCAGGGGGUUAUCUCUUGGAAUUGCAUUAACAGUUUAUGGAAGGGAAGAAGAAGCUGAUACUUUGAUCGAACAAAUGACUAGAGAUCAAGAUCCUAUACUUCGUUAUGGUGGUAUGUAUGCUUUGGCUUUAGCCUACAGGGGAACUGCGAACAACAAAGCCAUCCACCAGUUGCUGCAUUUCGCUGUAUCGGAUGUCAGUGAUGAUGUACGAAGGACAGCUGUUCUGGCCCUCGGAUUCGUCUUGUACUCCGAACCUGAGCAGGUCAUACAUAUACUGCUAUUUAUUCUUACGAAGAGUUGACAUAAUUUAGGACUUGUUUGUUUAGGUUGCAGCUUCUAAAGAAAUGUUGUUUGAGUUUAACUGUUUAAAGAAGCAUUAACAGUAUCUUUUUUUAAAAAAAAAUUCUCCGAAAUUGCUUCCCAUCAUAGUAGAAAUAGAAACUUUAAAUUGUAGACAGAAAAAAAGCCUAAAUGGCUUUCUGGCUCAGUGCAUCACUUCAUCAAGUGAAAUGUAUGGAUUGUUAUCCCCUGUAUAUUUCAGACAUUUAUUUCUAGUUCAUAUUGGUAUAAGAAUAACUAGCAUUUCCUUUAUUCCCUUUAUUAUUUGAGUGUGUAACUUUAUAUAUGUGCUUGUUCUAUUAUAGCUAUUAGUCAAUCUGAGCCAUUGAACUGCUUAUAGCAAGAAUUGCAUUUUCCUGUUCUUAAACUUUUGUAGUCCAAUAUCUGAGUUAGUUCAUUCUCUAUUAUGACCAAUGCAGACACCAAGAAUUGUAUCCCUCCUUUCUGAAUCUUACAAUCCGCAUGUGCGUUAUGGUGCGGCUCUAGCUGUUGGUAUUUCCUGUGCUGGCACUGGAUUAAGCGAAGCAAUUUCUUUGCUGGAGCCUCUAACAUCUGAUGUCGUCGACUUCGUCCGUCAGGGGGCCCUCAUUGCAAUGGCUAUGGUUAUGAUCCAGACUAAUGAAUCGUGUGAUUCUCGUGUUGGAACAUUCAGGUGAACCCUCCAGCUACAAGUUAUUUUCAUUUAGAUCCCUCAAAUUGAAACAGGCAGAAAUUGAGGGUGUACCAAUUAGAAAAAUAAUGUUAGAGUAAUUAUUUCAAAAUGGCCAACAGUUGGAGUUGUCAUAUGUUAUUACCUUUUCUUUUUAUCCCGUCUUUACUGCUUAUCAUUUGAAACAAGUUAUAAUAUCUCUGUUAUUUAUCCCAAUGCUCUUUAGGCGACAAUUAGAGAAAAUUAUUCUCGACAAGCAUGAAGACACAAUGAGCAAGAUGGGUGCCAUAUUGGCUUCUGGAAUCCUUGAUGCUGGCGGUCGUAACGUGACAAUCAAACUCCUAUCCCGGACGAAGCACGAUAAGAUCACAGCAGUUGUUGGACUUGCAGUAUUCAGCCAAUUCUGGUAUUGGUAUCCGCUCCUCUACUUCAUCAGCCUUGCCUUCUCUCCUACUGCAUUCAUCGGGCUUAACUAUGACCUAAAAGUGCCGAAAUUUGAGUUCUUAUCGCACGCUAAACCAUCCCUGUUUGAGUACCCGCGAGCGAUCACACCUCCGACAUCGACUUCCGCAGCUAGGCUACCAACUGCUGUUCUAUCAACUACUGCAAAAGCUAAAGCUAGGGCGAAGAAAGAUGCUGAACAAAAAGCUUCUUUGGAGAAGGCUUCUGGUGGAGAAGGUUCUAGUGGUUCGGCCUCGGGAAAGGGUAUUAAAUCACCUGAGAAGGAUGCUGAUGCUAUGCAGGUAGAAAUAUCUGCCUUCCUCAUUGCUCCUCAUUGACUGUUAAAUUUGUGCUUCAAAUAUUCUAUCAGCCACUCUUGUAUUGUAAAAAUUCUAUCCAGUCCCUCUAUUGAUGGUUUCUUGAGUUUAUAUGAACUACUCGAUUUAUUAUUAUUGUAUUGAGUUCUUGGUUAUACUACAAUUAUGAUAAUAGUAAGAAUAUCUUAAUUAGAUUAUUGAUUUUUUUAAAAAAAAUUUAGGUGCAUUAAAUUUAUUUGUGGACAGAAGACAUAACAAAUCUAGAAAGUUUAAACCCAACUUUAAAUUAUUCACUUUGGCUCUCUCCUCUAGUUGAAGACAUUCACCAAUGAAAGUCCACUUAGAGAGUUUUGUGGUGGCACCAAAUGACAAAACUCAUCCAGCUUUGGCCUUGAAUCCUUAUGUCCACUUCCAUCAAAACAACCAUGUUCUUGACCUCAUAUAUAUCAACUGGCGGUCCCAAACCUUGAUGGGGGAUUGCAUUAGGUUGUGCCACAUCCAUCGAAAAAAAUUCUGUCAAAGAAAACUAGUAAAAUUGAUCCUUUGUGGCUGUUACUGUAUCUCAGUCUGCAUUCAGAUAUAUUGAGGUUUUUAAGCUAUACGAUGUUUUAUUUUUUAUUUCAUGAUUUCAUUUUGACAUUCUGUGUUUCACUUUCAGGUGGAUAGCGCGCCUGAGAAAAAGGCAGAGCCCGAACCAUCAUUCGAAAUCCUGACGAAUCCGGCUCGUGUCGUCCCGGCGCAAGAGAAAUAUAUAAAGUUUUUGGAGGGAAGUAGAUAUGUUCCAGUGAAGCCGGCCCCCUCUGGCUUUAUCCUCCUAAAGGAUCUGCAGCCGGCGGAAGCUGAGGAGCUCGCUCUCACCGACGCCCCAUCUGCUGUGGCCACAAACCCUAACAAUUCUGGAUCCACCACUGCAACAGCUCAGCAGGGGUCAGGCUCUUCGGCAAUGGCGGUAGAUGAGGAGCCUCAGCCCCCACAGCCUUUUGAGUAUACCUCAUGAUGCUCUACCUCAUGAUGCUUGCUAAUGUCAGGAAGCUCGGCUUAAAGGCGAUUAUAUUAGGUGGAUCAUGACAGGAUGGCUAUCUGAUGUUUAAAUUUUAAAUCCUUUUUCGUCUUUUUAUUCUUUGAAAUAGUUUGUGUGAGAUUUGUUGGCAAGGGAAACAAUGUACUUUUAGAAGAGGGAAAAGGUGGGGGGUAUUUAGACUUCAUUGAUGGUAUAAGGGUUUGCACUUGGGGCUUUGGGCGAAAGAUGUAUUCGCAUUAUUAACCCGACCCGCCCUUUUGAUGUUAUCAGAUCAAAAUUCCUUCGGGGAACUACGGACACGAUUAGAUCGUGUCGUACAAGUGUUGGAAAUUGCCUAUCUGAACAGGUUUUCAUGGUGGUUAUUUAGUGCUCCUUGUCUUUGAAGCUACUUGUGUUUGUUUGUUUUUCGCCGAGGCAAUUACAACUGAUGCUAGGAGGAAAUGUGUUGGGAUGAUAUCUGAUUCAACCCAAUUCCAGCAGAGGGUCGGAUGUGGGUUUGCGUCAGUUGGAAAUUUUUUUUAGAUUUGAAUUUGGGUUCCGGCAUGCUUUUAUUUCCCAGAUAUGAUGAUAAAUGUCGUAUUACCCAAAUUUGAAACUGUUUAUAUGCAACUCGUAUGUGCGUAUGACAUUACCGUGGAAUCUAAAUUGGGCAUGGAGUCUGUUACAAGUUGUUUGAUUUUUUCUAAUUCUAGGAAGUUUAGAUGUAUAUAAAACAUUUUUUUUCUACAGGAACAAUGAUAAUAAGGGCCUAAAAAAACUCCACUCUUUUGCGAUAAAAUCAUGGCUUUAAUCCGCUACCUGUUGCUCACAAGAUAAUAAAUAUUACAAGUGGAAUAAUCCAUACUUGAAUUGCUAAUUUACAGUUAACAGCACAGUUUACUUUAAGAGCCAAGGAUCGAGUCAAAUCGAUUUGCCAUCAAAUUUAUCUCGAUGUCUAAAUAUAUGAAACACAGACACUAACAUUCCCGAAAUGGUACAAAACUUACACUGUAUAUUUAUAAAAAAGCUCUACUCCUGGCUUUUUAGUUCAUUCUCGAUAAGCUUUAGCUUCUGGGUAUUCUGUUCAUUGAUGAUUGAAAGCUUCUCCAGCGACGAUUUUAACAGCGACAUUUGAUUGUCCGAUAUGUAGUUUCUACCCCUCAAUGAUGUUUGCUGCGGUGAGCUCCCGACCAGGGAAGGUUGGCUGUACCUCUUCAUCCUUGCGUUCAGAGCUUCAAUGGCCGAGUGUAAUGCGUCUAACUCGAUAUUUCCAAACCUAUCUGCAAUUGAUUAACAUAACAAUUUUGUUAAUAUAUGGGAAUAAUAGAUCCACAAGACAAUAGGUUAAAUUUAUGGAGACCCACUUAAUUAUAGGUCAUUUAAAACAGACCCCUCAAACUUAAAUAACUAGUAUAAACCACUCCUAAACUUUUGCUUGUUUUGAUUAGAUUUAUUUCGUCUACUGUUGGUUGAAUGACGAGAUCUCAAAAUGGCUAAUGGUUGAAAAGAUAUCCGCACAUUUUUACCAAAGCCACAUAGAAUGUUUAAGGAGCUUCUGCAUACCAAGCUGGGCCUUGAAUUCACGCUCUGCUCUUGAUAAUGGUUUCUUGUUUCUUGCCGGCAAUGUCUUGAAGCUCUCUAGACGCAUUUCUAGAAGCUCAUAUACCUUAAAAGCACGAUCAAUUCUGUCGUUUAUGCCUUGUUCUUUGGUUUCAUAUCUUGCAAGUGACUGCUUCACUGCAUGCAAGCGUUUCUGUUGGGCGUCGAUUACUGUUUUCAGAUAGUCUGCGUGUUCUUUCAGCUCAAUAUAGACCUAAAUAGCAGAGAGAGAGAGAGAGAGAGAGGAUCAGCCACGAAAAUAUUCAACUGGCACUGAUACACAAUAACAAGCAAACAAAGCACGAAAGACUGAUAAUGACCAAGGCCUACAACUUUCUAACAGAAUGAUAUUAUCCAAAGAGAUUGUAUACAAGUACCCUUUAAGAAAAUGCAAAAGGACUAUCAUGAGAAAAAGAAAGAUCGAAAAUGAAAACAUUGAUGUUCUGUUACCUUGUGAGCAUACUCGACAUAAUUCUCAUGGAAAAGCUUGAUAUAGUGAUGAAGAGUCGAUCGGCCUUCAAUGGAGUCUGCUGUCAAAGAUCGAAGACUUGCUGAUGCAGGAAGUAUGAUCGUUUUUGGGCCCGCAAGAAGCUCUUUGCUUAUAAAUUCAGGAAUAGUAGCAGCUUCUUCAUCAUUGGCAGAUUUGCUAUCAAAUUCGUAAUUAAUGGGCAUCGGUUCUUUCCAGCCCUUCAUCUCGACAACAAUGCAUUCAUAAGAAAGGGUGAUUCCAACUAUCUGCAAAUGGCCAUACGCAUCGGCUAUAGUAACAAAACCUGAAAGGAAAGGAGAGCAAGAUUCUUCAUUGCCCGUGGCAAGAAUAGGAUGUACAGAUGGUGGUUUUGGAUUGGUGCCUGCAUCUGAGAACGGCAGGAAGUGCAGAGAUACCAUGUCGAUUCCCCCACCAUGAACACAGUAAAAUCUCUCUCCAACAAGAGGAUCAGGAAAUAAGGAUAGCAUGCAACUAGGGUUUGCAUUUGGAAGAGCCAAGUCUACAAGAGCUAGUCUUAGCAAAGGAGGUGAUGGACCCAACCAAACUGAAUCAACAUUGUUACUAGAAUUUGAUCCCAUUUCGAGUUGAUUUUGAAGUUUUGAAGCAGAAUUAUCUUGAAAAUUUGAUUCACAGAUCAUAGCAAAACCCCUUAAAUCCCCAUGUCUAUCAAUAUCUAGACGAGGGGGAAAACUCGUAUUCCAAUGAGGCUGGAUUUCGUCAGCGAAGGCAUCAAUCUGGAGCUGCCCACUGCUCCAGGCAGUUACAAUAAUUGAAUCUUUGCCUACAGAGUUGUAAAGAAAACCUACAGCUUUGCCUUCAAUAUUGUUAUUUUCCUCACCAUGAGAAACUUUACAGAGAGGUCCCUGCAUUAUCCACAAGAUUGUUCACCAUAUAAGUUUGUUCACCAUGUAACUGCUGAAGUAUCUUUUGCAGUUAACCAUUACAACAUAAAACAAUACAAGGCCAAAGAAUGCGCCAAAUCACUUAGAAGCUCAUUAAACUAGACAAUACAGUAAUCCAACCUAAAUCUGGCACAUUGACCUAAUUCAUUCCCGAGAUAUCUGCUAAUACACUCAUUAUGGAUCCACAAAAAAGGAAAAAACUCGCGUAGAUGAAGAAAGAGAGCAGGGUAAUGCAGAAGACACAUCAAUUCUAGGUCUGAAAUGCAAGAAGUAUGCAGCCUUACUCUUAUUACUGGAAGUCGAAUCUGAGAAUCAAACCAAAGCCACACAAAAUAACAUGUUUUUAUGAUAGUACAUAUAUGAAGAGGAGUAAGAUUCGAAGUGCUAGAUGCCUAGAACCACUCACUACAAACAGAUGGACAGAAAGGAAGGUCAGCACAACUCAUGGAAAUACAUGUGUAAGUCCUAUUAUCACUUUUCUACUACACAUGUACUGCAUGGAUGGAACAGUUAUUCUACGAAACCAUGUAAUGCAGUUUCAUUUCCAAAUUCAUAUUAAAACAUUUUACCUGUCUUACGGUAGUUAUAAGAGUGGCUAAUAAAUACUGUCAUCAACAGAGGACACAUGAUUAAAGAAGAAUACAUAUAAAUCUCCCAAAUAAAACCAAUGCAUAACUCAAGUAACCAAAGUAAAAAAAGAAAUUCGCAUAAUAAAUCAGAAUCAUGCCUGAAAUGAAAGAGAUGCAUCUACUGGGGCAUAAGCAUGAGCUCUUGCUAGUGAAACACUGCCAACUUCAGUUGAUUGAUCUGCUACAUCAGGAAAUGUUGCUUCUAGCCAAGAAAUGGCCAAACGUGAGUUGCUAACGAUUUUUGGGUUCAAUGACGUCAACCCAAAUGCAAUAACAUCUUCAUAUAUCUCUUGAAUAUAUCUUCUGUUAAAAAGGCUGCAAGAAAGUAGCCGAUUAUUGCUAUUAAUUAGGAUAUAAACAGGAUGUGUUGGGUUUUCUCUAUAAUAUAGAGCAUCAUUAACUUUCUGUUCUCAAAAAAAUAUAACAAAGGAAACAAGAAUAGAAAAAAAAAAAAAAAAGCUUUGAAAACUGUAACAGUACCUUCCGAAAGGAACAACUGGACAGAGGACAUAUAUCGAACCAUCGCUGAAUAAGAUAAAAACCUGCAGAUAUAAAAAACAAUUUAGUAUAAAAAGAUUAGCACAAAUAAGAAAGAGCAGAUCAACCCACAUUCUGACCUUAUGAAAGUGUGGAUACUACACAUAAAGGUGUCUUAAAAGUCUAAAGAAUAACUGAUGAUAAUGCUUGUCAACUAUCAACUAACAAAAUCCUGAACCGCUGGUCAGUCUUUCAAAGCCAGUAGAGUACUACUGCUCACUUUACUUUUUUUUCUUUCUUUGUGGUGUCGAUGUCUAGCAACUAAUAAAAUUGUCAAAAUUGGGUUGAAAGUCCGAAAUUCUCAUAAGUCAAAUAUAUUAAGUUGAGAAAGACAUGUCCUAGUACUCACAGAGAAUCUGUCCCACAAAUGAUGGCCUCCGUAUGAGAACGCCACCGGGCAGAUAGAUACAGCAUUGUGGCAGCUUCCAGGUUUGAUGGGCUGUAAAUAAUAUUCCUGCUCUGGUCGCUCUAAAUCAGAAGAGAGAUCAAAUAGCCUGCAAAAAUUAGAAGUUUAAAAGCCUCUUAUGAUGAAGAAUACAUCUUUUUAAUGAAUACUGAUGCAAAGAAAAUGGUAUUUUCUUUUUUCCUUGUAGUUGAACAUUUUCUGAAGCAUACCUGAAAACAGAAUCUGAUGUCAAAACUCCCAAAUGACUAUUACUGAAAGGGUGCCAGGAUAUCUGUAAAGCUUGUAAUCCACUGUUUUCACCAGUUAAGAUUUGAGAAGCGACUGACACCAUCCUGCCAGACUAUCCAAUUUAAUAAGUCUUUUAACAAGCCAAAGAAAUCCCAAAAAAUUUAGACAAGCUAUCUGAAGGCCACAAUAAGAGCAGAGAGAUGAUAGAAAAAGUAGACGGCAUUGGAAUUUGGAAUAGUUAUGAAUCCCAAAGGAUUUUGUAAGAGCACAUAUACAUGCUGCAGUGUAUAAAUGUGAAAUGUAUGUAAAAUUUUAUAUCAUAGUCAACUACAUCAAAAUAGCCCAGAUCACACAAUUAAAAUUAGCUUUAUUAACAAUGAAAAUAUGCAACAAGAUUUGAGAUAUCAAUGUCCUUAUAAAAACCUGCAAGUAACUGUGUUGCCAUUAACAGAGAUCCUCUCAUAUAUGUAGAUGACUCUAAGGAAGUCGGAACCAGCAAGAAUUAAUGAUGAGCCAUCUGCAUUUAGUGAAAUAUGAGAGACAAUCGAUGGGAUUUGAGUAUCUGGUAUCAGCUUCUGCACAUCAAAAGUAAUGUUAAUUAGGCUAUCGGUCAAAAAAAUAAAAUAAAAACGAUUGUUCGAAAUCAGACAAGCAAACAGCUUACACAUGUAACAGAAGUGGAAAGGUAGAGAGGAUGCAAACAUUGGUUUUUAUACAAGCAUGAUUACCUUGUUCAAUUUUUUGUCAUUUUCAGAGUAUAGUUAAUUCUUGUAUCUGCUUUGUAUUGGCUUCUAAAAUUUGCACAGUGCAUGUAACAUAGUUCUAAAAUUUGCAAUCAAUAAGUGUCGAAUGUACUAGGUAAAAAAAAACAAUGAGCAUUAACUUCCAAAUUGAACCAAUAAAUAAAUUGCACAGAUACAAAGUGAACGAAUACAAUGAUACGAACAGUUUGGGUUCACCAACAAAUGCACCAAAACAACUAACAUGUCUCACCCAGACAUAUUGAAGCAUUUCUAUAAGCUUAAUCUAGAUCGCACUUUUCGACCUAAUUUACUCAAACAAGUUCAAAAUGGAUCAACCUGUACGUGUUUAAUGUCAGAUGAAGUUCUUAAACAAUGGAGAAGUUAAAGUAGCAGAAACUUCAUAAAUCUAAAGGAUUCGAGCAACUCAAUCUCAUUAAAACAUCCAAAAAAUAGAAGCGGAGAGAGACGAUCGACCUCAGAAGGGAUCGCGGCCUCGACGACGACACUAAAAUCGGUAGAAGAAGCCGAGUCGGCAUCGAGAUCACGCAACCGAAGGGCGAGUCGGUGGACGCAGCGGGAGACAGAGUCCCACACGUAGAGCCGCGACAAGGCGGCGUCCCACGCAGCCGAGCUUCCGCCGCCGGAAGCGGCGGAGCCACGGCGGAGCUCCCCGGAAUCGGAGGAGAUAGGGCUUCUACUAGCGAAGACGGGGUGCUUCUGAAGCGGAACCCACUCGAGCGAGGGUUUCUUCUGGGGAUCGGAGGGGAGAGAGAGCGGCGCCGGCGGCGCCGGUGUCGGCGCCGGCGAGCGGCGGAUGCUGCCUCCGCCGUCGCUUCCAUGCGGCGGCGGAGGAGACGAGGGCGGGGACGGCGCCUUCAUGAUCGCCAUUGGUGGAGGGUGUGGAGCGGACGCGGGGUUUCGAUUCGGCGGCGGAGUGAGGAGGUAAUCUCACCGGGUGAUGCGACUAACACUCUAGGGCGCUUUAAAAAGAGCACAUUGCCGCCCCGGAUAGUAUAAUCGGGUCGGAUCCGGGAUUUGGUAAUCCAAUACCCGCUAAACCUAUAUGACCUAUACCGGGCAUUUGGUGAUUCUAUAGUAAAAUCGGGUCGGAUCCGGGAUUUGGUAAUCCAAUAUCCUGUGUUUUUAAUAAACAGUCGCAGCUUUCCAAAUCACAUGAUGGGAGAGAAUCCCUCCGCCCCAAAUUACGGGACAGUUCCUGUAUUUUUUUUUAUUUGAAUUUUUUUAAGACUUUGCUUGUUUUACCAAAAUAAGGUUGUCACAUGUGGCGAGUUUUGGCUGUACGUCCGAUUUUAUUUUUAUUUGGAUAAACAAAAAUAACAACCUCAUUUCACGCACAAAGUUUGAGCCAUUUCUCACGGCUCUUAGGCCUCCAAUCACUCUCCUUGUCUAAUCUCCAACUUCGCGGGUUAUCAUUAAACGCUCGACUCGUAGAUCAAUAUAUUGAGUGACAUUUAAUUGCACCCAAAUUUCGACGAAACAAACAUAUCCUUGAUAUUAUCUUAGUAUUGUAUAUAUAAUGCACUUUAAUUCUCAAUUAUUAUGAAAGAAAAGGUGUAAUUUUUUCCAUACCUGAUCUAAAAUGGCUGGUUAUUUCAAGUAGGAUUAUAGUUAGUAAUGCUAUAUAUUAACUGAUCUAGUUUUUAUAUUAAUAAUUAAAUAAUCUACUAAAUUUUGACCACCUUUUCUUUUGAUUGAGUCUAACCAAAUUAAAUAAAUAUGAUUCGCUGGUGUAAAAAAUACAUAUAUUAAUAUCACCUUCCAGCUAGAAAAGUUAAGCCAAUACUGCAACUUCUUGUUUGAUAUACAUAAAUAAAUAGCUGCAUUGUGCAUACAACAUGCACAGAGUAUGCUCUCACAAAAAUGACAAAAGGGAAAGUGACAAAUUAAGCAUCACUACAAUUUUCACUAAAAGCUCUAAAUAAAUUAUUAGAGUUAAAAGCACACGAAGCAAUAAUUCAAAUGGAUCCAAGUAUUAUUUAUCCAUCUUUCCAUCAAUAUAGAAAAAUUUUGUUUUUUUUUUAAAUAUUGAAAAUAUCUAUUUUCAUAAUUUUUAUUUUUUAGAUAAAAAAUUUGAAAAAGGAAAAUACUAAUAAUUAUAAAAAUUUGAAAAAAAUUAUUUCCAAAAAAGUACUUUUUUAAGGAACCAAACUUACGAAAAGCACUUUUUCUAGGCCGAAUCUAUUUUCAGAAAUUUUUUUGAUAAAUCAAAUAAUAGCAAAAUAUAUUUUGAAUAGUAAAUUUUUGAUUUCUUAUGUCUUACAUAUUAAGCAGCUCUUUUUUCAACCAAAGUUUAGAUGACUUUAGUUCACUCUCGGUCUCCAGACUCUCCACAUAUCUUUGCAUGCAAGCAAAGGAGCUUGCUGGAGCCAUCAAUACAUUUUUUAUUUAAAAUACCGUAAUGCGUAGAAAUAGUAACACAAUCAAUCACAUUAUUGAUUGGGAGCAAUUUUCUUUACUAAUAUGGGUAGUACAACACAGUGGCACACAUCAUUAAGCACCCCGUUUGGUUCGGAAUUAAGAGGUAAAAUAACCCUUUAAUUUCGAAGUUAUUUUCAAAUACCCAAUUUAGAGGGUGAGAUUAGCUAAUCUCACCCCAUCCCACUAUUUCAAUCAAACAAAAUAUUAUUUUAUCCACUAUUCUUCUUAUCUCAUUUACUCCAACCAAAUACUAUUUUAUCUAUACCUGAACUAAACUCAAUUCUCAACUAAAUAUAAAAUUAUUCUAACUUUAUCUUAUUUUUGAAUUUAAUUUUAUUCUUAAAAUAAUAAAUUUUUACUUCAUUUCGAACCAAAC